UCUCUAAUUUUUUCUUAGAAGAUCUCUAAUUUUUUUGUUAGAAACUGAGUUUAUUUUCCCGAUUUGCCUAAUUCUGUUCUUCCUCUCCCUUCUUCUUUUCUCUUGUUGUCCUAGUUUCUUCAUGCUUUGCAGUGAUAUUUGUGUUUUUUCCAAAGCCUUACAAGUUGAGCUAUUUUUUGCUUUCAAAUAGGAUUGUCUGAUGAGAACUCCUGAGAUGGUGUUUUAACACCACAGGAAUGGCACAGCAACACUAGGGUGGCUGUUGGGAAGUGGCUUUGACAAUUUAUCAACACCUUUUCUGUAGAUCUGAAAUUAAUAGUUUGCAAUUAUGAAAUGAAUGAAAUUGCAGUUAAUGAUCUGGUUUGCUGGGUAGCAAAAAAUCAAGGUGAAGCACCAGUUUACGCUCUUACUUUGCAUGGGUUGGUAAGCUGGUUAUAUGUGUUACCUGUGGAAUUCCAGUUUGGCUGGUUGUUGUUGCAUGCUGUAGGUGCGGUUUGCAGAAAACACUUUUUUGACCAUCUCUUUAACACUUUUUUGCCAUCUCUUUUAUUAUUACGGGUCUUAAUGAGGGAGUUGGGCAUAUAACUUGCAUGCAAUAGACAUUCAACAUUGCCCCCACUCAAUUAGAUCAUUUUUAUGCUUCUCGUGGUGAUGUGAUACCUUGUUGGGAGAAAAAAGGGUAGAAAAAAUGAAUUAAAUACAUGAUUUUGUAUAGAAUAUUUUCUUAACAGUAUCCACCUAUGUUUUGCCUUAGAUUUAAAGUUUCUGUGCUUUUCAGUGGAUUCAUCUUAGCCCUGGUUAAAAUAACUAUAUGCAGACAAAAUAGAAAAUAAGGACAUGUGGAAGUCUUUUUUUGAUAUUGAAAUGUUCCAUAGCUUUAGCAUUUCAUCAGUGCGGUUAACCUCAUCUUUAUUUUAGAGGAGGAGGUCUCUCAUCAUCUUAUCAUUCUAACCUUAUCACUGGGUUUUUCUGUGGUGCUGUCAACACCUAGAAAACUUUCUCGAUCUCAGUUCACCAAGCAGGAACUUCUUCCUUUUGGAUCUUCUCCUGAGAAUUAAUUUCAAACCCACUAUUCUCAAUGCCAUUAUUUCCUUUAAAGAGCAGAUGUAGACUUCUGUCUUUUGCGUUUCCUGGAUCUUGUUUGCAAAUUAGUCUGCAAUCAGUCUUGCCAGUAGGGAGAGAAAUCUUGGAUUAAAAACACAUAAUGAUUUCAGAUGUUAAUCUUGAGGGCUUCUCAAAAGCAUUUCAUAUUAAGAGAUGGCUGACAAGGGACAAAUUAUCAGGGAACAAAAUUUGGAUUUUUUAUUUUUUUUUUCAGAUCUAGGCCCUCUUUAUCUGGAUCUUUGACAUUUCCAAAUUAGUCAUUCCUCCAAGGUUCAUUCCUAUGGCUUUAAUUUUUUUUAAUGGUAUUUUGUUCAAAACACUGCAAGAUGCAAUUAUCAGCGAUAAAUAAAUCUGUUAAUAAUACAAUUUUAACAGCUCUAACAACACGAUGGCAGUUGAUAAUCUCUAUUGUUCUUAUUAUUAUAUCAAGGUGUCUCCUGAAGAGCUUGUCAUAUCACUUGCCUUUCAGAUAUAAAUUGUAAUGAAAUUGUAAUGCUUACAUUGAUUUGAAAUAAUAAUUGGUUUGUUCAUCAAUAUGAGAAAUCUAAGAAAAGAAAAGACUGUGACUCAAAUAACAUUUAAUUUUUUAAACAUUCUUUGUUUAAGUAUCCGUCAUUCUUCUGAAACAAAAGUCAAUAUAAUUCAGUAAGAUUUCUCCAAACAUAUCUUUAACAGAACAAAUAUUUUUCUUUUAUUAAAAGAAUGAAGUCAAAUUCAUCUGGAUCAUGUAAAAUGCAUUUUUAGUGAAUAAACUAUUUUCUCUCACCUGUUCCCUGGACCUUCCAGGCCCCCCACUCUCAAAGAUUGCCUUGUGUAUGUUUCUGGAUAAAAUAUGUCUAUCAGUCAAUGACAUUUUUUUAAGAAAACCAGUCCAAAGUCAAAGAUUAGAUGCCCAAAAGAAGUCUCAUAGUUACAGACUGUUUGCUUUCCCUACUGGCUUCAUUUAUGAUUUUUUUGUUGUUGUUGUUGUUGUCCUUAAUGGUGAUGAUUGUAACUUUCGCAAAAUAGGAAAAGUGAGCUACAAUAUGUACUUCUGCUCCAUGGACAAAACAUGACUUUGUAUGUGUUCCGCAUAUUUCCACAAAUUAAUUGGAUCCUGGCUUAUGAACACGUCUGUGUUUUAAAGUUUGCAAGCCUACUGGUAUUCUGAGAGGCAUUGAAAACCUGCUAAAAGUAUGGGUGUAUUAUUAUUGUUAUACAAUUUCUGUACAGUACACAGAUUUUGGACCAGCCGUUUUCUACAUGGACAUAGAAAAUGCAACAUGAAAAUGAUAUUUUUUAAUUCUUUCUUUUAAAAUCUAUAUUUCAUGUGGUUUUGAGCUACUUGUGACACCUUAUAUUUUCAUUAUGAUGAGUGUAUUUAAGGCUAUGUGAAAUAUUAAAAGAUCUUAAUAGCUGUUUUAGGGAAAUAAACCUUUACAGUAUAUGCCAGAAGAGCUCUGGUAACUGGCAUGAAAAUUCAUUCAGAAUUUUUUUGUACUGCGACAGUGCUUGAUCCUCUUUGAAGUGUUCAGGAAUUUUAGCAAGUUAGGACUACUGUAGCACAUCAAGUUUCUGACAGACACAAAGCGCAUUAUGAGUAACAGUCAGUGGGAGUGAAAACUGGAUUCACAGUUUUCACACAAGAAAUCUGGUUGCCAGAGUUAGGCUUGAACAAAACCAUGGGAUUCAGCUGAUCACCCUCCACUUAGGUUUUGGAUACACAGAAAGAUCCGUUCACAAACAAACUGUAAACCAAGAGGUGUAUGAACUAGAAUAAAAUAAACUAAUGACUCCCUACUAAUUGUGUUUCACUUAAACCUCCUCUGAAACCCCUGGUCCUGUCUCGGAGACCCAGUACUGGAUGUACUGGCCUUAGGUUUCAUCCCAUGUGGGAGUUUCUAUAUUAUUGUUAUUUUGUAGUCUUGGAUGGUAUAAAACUAUGUGCUUGUUGCUGUGCACGGGGGUGAGUUUCAUACAGUAUCGAUACAAAUGAAAUUGUUUCAGUUUAUCCUUGAAUAACCAAGAACCAGAAAAAAAAAAAAAAAACAAAAGCAGAUUCUUGACUGUGUGUUGGAGUUUGCAUACAUCCUUACUCAAAAUUACAUGUAUCUCUGGGUGAGUGCAAAAUGUCCUUUAAAAGGCAGUAUUGUUAUUAAAAUAAUGCAAUUUCAUCAAAGUGCUAAUAGUUUUCGCUACUGAGAAUAAUUUAGUUCUUAUAAUGUGAGCAGUAAAUAAUUGCUCUUCUGGGACUUUUUUUUUAAACUAUGACAAAAAUAUGUGAAUGUGUACAUUUUGAGAGAGGCCUUAAAUGAAGCCAUUUAUUAGAAGGGCUUUUUCUUUUUCAGCUUGGGUGUGCAAGAAUAUGAAGGAGUUUAGUACAAGUAAUUAUAAAAAAGCUUGCUUGUGGAUCUCCCUGUAACUAACAAGACAUUUCGGUUUGCUAAGACGGUGUUUCUCUUUAGCUUAUGUCAGUAAUAGGAGCCCCCAUUGGCAAAUGUCUCCAAGGUUCUUGCUGUUCUGGACUUACUUUCUUCAGGGUGAUAACACAUCAUACAUCUGCCUUUUCUCAGCAGGAGGUUAUAAUCAGAAAUUCUCCCUCACUUUGAUCACACAUUUCAUGCAUGCUGGGUCAGAUGCUGCACCCACACAGUUAAAACACAACUUUCAUGAUAGUGGAUCAUGCCCUUCCUAUGCAGAUCUCAGCUUGGUAGGGAGAGGAGCUGCCCAUGAAGAAUAAAAGCAGCGUGUGCUGCAGUCAUCAAAGAGAGCUGAUUAGAGAAGGCAAAUCCCAUCUUCAUUAAGCAGAUCGGGACUGUGGUCAUGGCCAAAUGUGCAUUUUCAAGAAGUCAGGAUUGAAACUCCUGUCUUGCUUCAACUAGCUCUGCCACUAAGCAUUCUCUUUGUCUUUCUUGAAGGAAAAUACAAUUGGUUUGUGAUCUUUUGAAAUGAAAUGCAAGCCUUGGAACAAUAGGUCCUAAUGUGUGUGGAAUACACAGCAUCUCUUUUUGUGCUAUGUCUGUAGACCCAGGAAAGUCUAACCAUACAGAGCCUCAAGCUAACUAACCAAUUAAAAUAUUUUUAAUACUCUUUUUGCAAAGCUCACAUACUAAGCUGUUAGAAUUUACAUAUAUGGACUCCGAUCUUGGAGCUACAUCCAGACAAAGAAAGCCCUUGUUUUCAGACAAGAUCUUCAGGCAAGCACAAGAGAACACUUACAGGAUCAGGCUCUCAGCAAACUUCGCAGCUCUUCUCUCCUGCCAUCCAUCUUGCAGGGUUAGAGAGUUUCAUCAAUGCUUCAGCUGUUGGAUGUGAGUGUGGAAGAACUCCUCUUUUCAUGCUCUCUUCAACUUUGUAGCCUCAGUAGUUACAGAGGAUGUUUUCAAAGACUCAUUCUAACUUCAGACUCUAGGAUAUUUGUAACAGUGUUUAUGAAAGCAAGAAUAUCCAAGACUUGAAAGUAAGAAUGAAGUCUUUUCUUCUUCCUUAAAUCUCAUAAUUUCUGCAAUAUUCUUAUGAUUGUUACUACAGGGAGAAGGAAGCCUGAAAAAAUAGUUCCAUAACUAAUUGUUCUCAAUUUAAACAGUUUUAAAGCAAGAUUAUAAGGCAACUGCCUAUUAUGCCUUUGUUCUUCAUCCUACAAUUUCUUGUUUUUAUAUGGAAAUGCUAUAUGAAACAUAAAUUAUUGAACACCUGAAGUAGAAUAUGCGAGUAUUUAAGACGAAACAUCUCACCAAUUUGAUUCUGUAGGGCUACAACUUUACCUUUAAAAAUUGGUCAGAUGUGUAAGAAUAGCAUAGCGUACGUAAAAUACAGGGUGUUUCAAAAAGAUGGACCAAAUUUGAAAUCAUGACUGCUUUGCAAUCAGGGCCAUCUUUUUGGAACACCCUGUAUUUUUUUCUGAAAUACCUCCACAUAGCAGUAUGUCAGAAGUUACAGGAGCUGUGAACUACAAGCUUUAUCUUGGAACAGUAGAGCUCUAACUGUUGUCACUUUGGCAUUUUAUCAGAAUGAAUAACUGGAUGAGAUACUAACGUGCUUCAUGUUUUACAGCAUCUUUAAAACUGUUAUAUGUUUAAAGGCUUAGUUUUAAGUAGUUUUUCAUGGAACAUUUGAGGGAAAUUUCAUCUAACUAUACCAGCAGUAUUAUUUUGUAGUUUGAACUGGUAUCUUCAAGAACUUAUUCUUAUUACUGCAUCUUUUAUGUUUGAUGUUAGUUGCUUAAUUUUCCUAAUAUAUAGUAAAAAUGAACAGCCGUUCUACAACUGUCUUGUUAUUUCUCAACAGUUUCAUUUUUCUAACCAUCUCUGGGGAUGGUUUUUGCACACUAUUAGCAACUUCAUUUUCUGAUAUACCUGAAUGCAAGAAAGCAAAUAAUCAGGAAGAAAACUGUAGAAAGGAUGAAGAGGAAAGGUUUGCUAAGAAUGAGUUAAAAUAUUUUCCAACCUUUUUACAGCUGCUCUGCUGGAAAUACCAGCAGCUAUAAUAGAUUAAAGAAGUUAAAUUACAGAGUUUUGUGUGCCAAUUUUGUUUUAAGACAGUAAUACGUUCUAAAGUUUUGUAUCCUAUUAACUCAGGAUGGUUUUAAAACAAAACAAAACAAGAAGCUUUUCAGCAAGCACAUCUAAUUCUUCUUGAAUAGAAACUACACUGUAAAGAAAUUAUGUUCUAAGGAAGUUUCUUACGCCACAAAGUGAAGCAUGAAAGCUGGGAAAUGCCAGAUCUACAGGUCUAAAUCUGUUCCCCAUCCAUCGCUCUGAAGACUGAAUGUGGCAGGGCCCUGCUAGAAAGUGACAGUGCUUGAAUGCACACUCAUGGGUAUGUCUUUGCCUCCUUGAGACUCAGUGCUUGUAAUUUUUUCUUCGUGCUUUUAAGAGUAAACAGAAUAGAAACCUUAACUGUUGCAUGGUGUUGUUGCCUUUAGUGGUGUUUCAUGUAGUACAAGAAAAACAUCUAUUUGUCUGCCUGGGCUCACAGGAUCUGUGGUGCAAUCCCUGCUUUCCACUGCAGACCGGCAUCAAGCUAAAUUCCAAAAUGCCACCAUCUAAUAGAAAACACUUUGUUCACAUUGUUAAUGAGACCAAACACAUACAGCUUUGUGGGGUUUUUUUCAGACUAUUUCUAUUGAAUAAGAAGUAUUAUCUUUUUAGAACUGAACAAAAAUUAAAGCAAACAUUUCACAUGUAUCUAAGGACAUACUUCUUAGGGAAAAGUGGGGAGUGCAGAAUGGGAGAGGUAAAAAUGUUCUAAGUGUAUAACACCAAGGCCUAAAGACACAUAUGGAGCAUACACUUUGCUUCAUAAUUCUUCAUCACUGAGGUUUUUUGUUUGGAUUUUAAACUUCUCAGUUGUAUUUGUGAAUUGUUCACCUUUCUUUCUCAGAUCUUUUGCAGGUUGUUAUGUAUUUAUGGAUGGAUUUGUAGUACCUAUAUAAAAAGCAUUAACCAGAGGGAGAAAGAAUAUAUGUGGGGAAAGGAUGGAGGGUGUAUUGGAGCAUUGCAGGACACAGUUUCCUAGGAUGAUUUGUUUGGAAGCUUUCAGUUUUUCUCAGAAACUGAUGUUUCUUCAUGUCUGUCUGGGUUGUCUUGCUUUUGAGCCACUUCCUCAACUGAGGUUCCUAUUGUCUGUGAUAGUGAGCUACAAGUGUGCUAGAUUUGGCCCAUUGAAUGUACAGAUGCGAGACUUAUUGAGAGUGACACUGUAAAAUGAAUAUGUACACAGUGCAAUUUUAGGGAUAAUAUUAUGCAAAUAUUCCUAAGCAUGACACAUUAAAAUGUAGUUACAUUUUAGACACAUCCAUUAAUAUUUUCCCUGAAUAUCAAAUACUUCUUCCCACCUGCCAUCUCUUCCAUGUUUUCACUUGCUAUGAUGGUUAGAUGUCAGAAAGCUGUCAUAACGCUGUGACUAGGCUUUUUGGUUAGUAGAACCUUGCACAGUCUGCAUUUAUAUUGUGCUCAACGUUUUAAAAACAGAUUAAACAUUUCAAACCCUACCAACAAGACAUAUUUUUAAUAAGUACUUCUUCCUGUGAGGCAGAUUCUGAAUUACUUUUGCAGUUUCUAGCAUACAGUAUUACUGUGUUUUGCCCAAAGCAGUAUACAUUAAAAAAAAAGGCUUAAUAGCUCAUACUAAUCCUGCUUGCACUCCCACUUCAGACUCACGUUUAUACAUAAAGUGGUGUCGGUUUAGAAAGAAGGCAGUGAUGCUGGGUGCUCAGGGUUUGAUGGUGGUGAUAGUUAGACCACAAGUCACCUAAACAACCAUUUUAAUACCCUUGCUAAACAAGAACAGUAGAUUUCUCUCUCCUUGGAAUUUUAUCAGCAGGUUAGUUCAUACGCCCAUAGUCACUUAUAGUGUAUCUUUAAAACUUUAGCUCUGCUGUUUCAUAUUGAAAAGAAAGUUGCCAUGGUAAUUUUUUGAAAGUGUCAAUCAUAGGCCACACCCUCCUACUCCCCACCCCUGCCUAACACAAAUCCAAACUUUCUUUUCAUCUUAGUUUGUGAACAUUUUCACUUAACAGCUGUAUUUAAAUGCCAGAAUUCUGCAUGUGACAACUAAGCAAGCAGAAGAAUUGCCAAUGUCGAUAAACAGUCAGAGCUCUUGUUGAAUCUUGGUAGCAUUUGAAAGUCAGUAUUUUAUUCUCCUGAUCAUGGCUGUCCAUUAAUACCAUUUUACCUGUGCCUCUAAGUCCUAUGAUUUCCUUUCCCUCUUUUAAAAAAAUGACUGAAAAAACCCUUUAUUUAAAGAAAGCCUUUGGUAGAUUGAUGCCCUCUUGUUGGUUAGAUGGUGCAGAAGCUUGGUGAUUUCUUUAUAGGGAAGCAGCAACAUGUUUCCAAGUCUUACUAAGGAUGUGAAAAUCCUAUUGUAAUAUCCUUUUGAUGAGUAGUAACAGAAAAGUCAUGAUCUCUCUGAACAUCUCUUAGCUGCAAAGGAUAGGAGAGGCACGUGAAGAUCUAUAUGUUUAAUGUGCUUCACCAAACAGUUCCCCCUCUCCUGCCAUUCUUCACAAGGCCUGAACACCACUUUGUGAAUUCUACCAGUGAAGGUACUUAUUCAUGUGAGUAGUCCCAUUAUUUUCAUAAGUAUAGAUUAAGAGUUUGGCUUUGUUUUAUAGUGAACUACUGUGUAUUAUUCUUUAUAUUAUUUUCACAUAUACAGAAACCAUCAUUCUGGGCUACAAUUCCUGUGCAUUCAUUUAGACAAAUCAUAUAAAAACAUUAUAGUCUAAAAACAGAAUAUUGGCAAAAAAUGUCUACUGGCAGUGAAGGUCAGAAGCGUAACUUGAAGACUUAAUAAAUUAACCAAUAGAUUGGCUGUAAACCUGUACUAAUAACAAAUGUAGUUGUAAUGGUAACAUUAUGAAAAUAUCAUUAAAAACAUCAUAGUCAGGUAUCUUAACAUUUAUAGUUUAAGCAGGAUUGAUAUCCUCUUAUGCACUUGAAAUGAUUGACUUUCAUCCCUAAACUGAACAAAAUAUAUUUCUUGGAGCAUUGUGUUUUCUGAAGUUUCUUCAUACAAAUCUGUUUCAAAUUUACUGCUCAUGAUCCUGCUCAUUCCUCUAGAAAAAAAAAAAAAGUAAAUCACAGACUACACUGGAAAAAGAUUGAUUAUGAAUAAAACCAAAUAAAAUAAUUCUUCUACAAACAAUUAUAAACUAUUUAGAUAAGAUUGUUGCAUGCAUGUAAAAAUUUAAUAGAAAUAUACAUAUAAGAUAUAGAUUAAAGAUUGUUACUUAGAAUAAAAAUUUAUCAUCUGAUAUCUUGAUUCAGCAAAAUGCAAAUAUUUCUUAUUAAACAUCUGCUGAGGUUUCCAUGUUUGUACUCCAGCUGGGAGUUAGGACUCUUUAGGGACUGACAUCAGAAGAAGUUAAAAACUGAUAGAAAUCUUGGCAAUUAAGUACAUUUGACAUUUUGAAGAGGGAACAGCAAAAAGGAGUAAGAAAGUGCUUGGAUUAGAUUAGACUAUGUUCCAUCAGGAAAAAGUAAACUGAAGUAAGAAGGAGCCAGUGGACAGGUCUGACCAAAUAAAACAUUUUGGUGAUGAGAAAUUAUGAAAUAUAGAUGACAUUGAUUACAGAGUAUUUUUUUCUCACACAGCAUUUUAGCAGUAGGAAGGAGAUUAAUUAAACCUUAUAUUAAAAUAAACAGUAGGUUUCUGCGGGGUUAAGUAUUUGAAUGGCAAUUAAAUAUUCCUAAAAGUUCUACAAUAUUAUCAGUAUAAUAGACUUGCUUCUGCAGACUAAAAGAAUUCAUGUUAAGCCUGCUGUCAUUUAAGUAGUACAUCAUAGAUGUGCUCCUGGGAGACAAGUUUCCUCAAAGCACAGAAAUCCAAAUUGGGAGAAAAAAUAAAAAUGAACAAUGAAAAUACUUUUUUCCAUAUAGGUUAUUAUAUUGUUCUUAUCAUCAUAAUAUCUGGUUACUUUCUGGUGGUGCAUUAAACUAUGGGAUUAGCAUCUGUUGUUUAGUGCUCUGCUGUAGCAUGAUAAUUCCUGUAGACUUGGGGGAAGGAGGAACAGGGAAACUGUGGAAACAUGCUUAAAUGUUAACAAAUUCUGCAUGUGGAAAUGUUAAUUGAGAGCAGAGGAAAAAGCAGUAAUGAUGAAAAUUAAAUCCAAUUAGGUGAAAGGGAACACAUUUACGUGUUUUUGCUGACACUGCAAAGACUUUUGGAAGUUAAGGCUAGUAAGGGGUUGCUGUUUGACCCAUGAAGAUUGUUAUCUAUUUCAAGAGUAAUUCAGAAAUGUCUGACAGACUGUUAAAAGGUAUAAAAACCUAUUAAAAAGGCCAGAAGUUUUGACUAUUGGAUUUUAACCAGCCUAAUAUUUAAUUUGGAAAGGAACGAAGUUUUCAAAAUAGGGUAUCUUUAUAGCUCUUCUAUAAGAUUAUUCCCAGGGCAGGAGUUUUAGAGAACCCUUCCUUUGGUAACAGCUGCUGUGCCCAACAAGGACUGAUGGCACCUGGGCAACCUGCAACCUUGUAUUCUAAGUGAUGCUGGGCAAUACCUCGCAAACCUGCAUUUAGAAUAUAGUCAAAGUGAAUAUUAAAGGGAGAACAGUCAAAUGCAAACAAGCUAAAAAAUAAAACUGUGUUCAGUACACAGAAAAAGCAAGAAGAUGAAAAUACAUAAAGAGUCAGGGCCUGAGUGGCCUCUCAAAAUAAUUAAACCUAAGCUAGAAGAAAUGGAGUAAGAAAAUAUCAAAGAACAAUUGAAGGGACUUUUUCUAUCAAAUAUAAAAGGAAUUUGAUGAUAUUUUAAAAACCUCUGCAGUUCUGAUGUAUUUUUUUUAAAGUAAUUGUUUAAAUGAACAAAAGAGAUUCUAAAGAAAAUCUGUAUUUAAAAUAUCUAUGCACAGUACAUGUUAAAGAAAUGUCCAGCUAAUUAAAGGAUAAUUCUUCAUUGACAUCAAACUUGUGCAAAAAUGGGUCUGAAGCAUGUUGAGAACAGGAUCUUGCAUUGUUUUUAUUUUGUGUUACAGGUUAUUUUGUAAAUGUUUCAGCUGUCUUUCUCAUGGCCAUUACACAGUUCUGAGUUAUUUCAAAGAGCAAAUAGAUAUUUCAUUUUGCAACUUUUUCUGUAACUGGAAAAAGCACAACAUUUGAAAUCCCAGUGUUCAUCCUGCUGAAAACUUUAAUUCAGAAAACAAUGUAGAGCUUGAAUUUAGACCCAGAUAUCAUACAAAAAUUGUGCUGGAUUUUUACUUAAAUCGGUUUAUGCCGAGUAAUCUUGUUUUCACAAAUCCUAGAAAGGCAAAGCUACAUAUUUUCCUAGUUGUAAUAGGCAAUAUUUUCUAUUUCAAGUAGCAUGAGAUAUUUAAGAAUUCAAAUAAGCAAUUUGUAACUAUUAGCGGAAAAAUAUCAAUGGCCCAGCUCGACUCAGACUAUAGGGACUACAGGUGGACAAGGCUUUCACAUCUCAGCAUAUUUUCAACAGGCAGAUGCCUCUGUUGUUGAGCAACAUAUGUGAAUAGAACCUCUAGGAACUCACCGUAUGACCUUACCUGAAAGUUGUGUGGUUGCUGCCUUAACAUUUUUGCAAACUUUAUGAUUUACAGUGCACAACCUGACAUUAGGAGCAGAAUCUGCUUUCUUGAAGAGCAGAGCUCUUAAUUUGCAGCAACUUAUCAAUUAUCAUUCCUCCUCAGAAGUAAAUAUUCUCUUGGUAGCAGUUUCUUAUGGUACUGCGGGGAUGAUGCCACAAGCAGAAAAAAUUGAAUUACAUAUCAGCUAAAUAAUUUUUUAUAACACCCACAGAUCCAUACUAGUCUUUCCUAUGUCCUCUGCUCCAGAAUGUAAUUCCAAGGAGGGCUUCAUGAGAGAGAGAAAGGUUGUGAGAGACAUGAAACAUUUACUCUGUCAUACACUGUACUCAAGGGAGUAAUACGUGCGUUUCACUGCCAAGCAAUAUUGUCACAGAGGUUCUUUGACUAGAUAUGUCUGUGCAUAAACAUACACUCUAGUAUUUACAGAGUAGCUCAGGGUGGGCCGUACACCUGUAGAAUCAAAUUACUCUUGGUAGGUAACUCACUAAGACCAAAAGUAAAAAGGGGGCUUGAUCACAUCACAUUGUCUCAAAAAGUACUGACUUUUGGGGAGGAGUUGCCAAAAUAAAUACAUAAAAUAGUUUAUUAUAAAUGAGUUUGAGAUGCGUAAUUUUUCUCCCACAGGGAAAAAAAAAAAAAAAAGUAGUUUUCAGAAUGAAAAUCACAAAAGGAGGUUUGAAUGAAACAGUGCUGUGGCAGAAAGUCGGAUUUGGUGAAAAUGUGAUUCCCUAUCAUAUAUUUGGUUUACAAAUACUUAGUGAUUAGUAUUUACAUUAUGAUUGAUAAUGUAUACAAAUACUUCUGCUUCUUUUUCAUUAUUAGGUACUUCUAGUAUGUUGCCACCUCUCUUGUGGGCUAAGCAGUAUUUAUGCUCGUUUAUUCAGAUUGUUGGGGCAUCCUGGGUUCUUCAUUAGGCACAGAGACAUCCAUGUAUGUCCUGAGUGAGAAAGAUCAUGGAUACGAUUGAAGAAAGAUGUAAGUGGACAAAUGGGGAGGAAGUUCAGGGAAACUAGUAGGCACUAUUCAUGGCAGAAGCAACUUUUUGCCAGGUAGGUAAGGAAGCUAUUUAUUAGGAGAUCCCCCACAUAUGUAUGGGAGGAACCACUUGGCUGUUUGAAGCUGCUACAAGUUGUGAGUAGAUACCAGCAUAAGAUAAAGAUCUGAGGUGGACGCUGGCAUACUGAUGGAUGUUUUGGUUCAUCUUAAUGUUAAAUGUUACUGUUUAAAUGAUCUCAAAAGACCUCAAUAAAGUACAGGAGUUUUUUUAUGUUUACAUAAUUGAAAAUCACAUCUGCGAGAGGUGGCUUUGUUUUCAAGGCUCAACAAAGUUCUGCAUGUCUGCUUGUAUUGUUAUGGAUGGUUGCCCUAAUUUCAGUGAGAAGGCUAAUUGUAGUAAAGAUGAAUACGAGUGUAAGAGUUUGCAUGAUAAAGGCCUAGAGCCUUUAUACAGAUCCAUUCCUCUCCCAGAGUACAUAAAUAAAAGGUUCAUCACUGGACAUACCAUAUUAAGGACAUGGUUACUUCAUGCUUUGUGCACAACAUUGCAUUCAAUCCAGUGUAUGUUGUAAAAGUUCAUAUAGGAAAUUGGCAUUCCUUGUGAAAGUUUAUUUCCCUUAAAUUCACAAACCCAUGGCUGUUAUUAAUUCUCUAAGUACAGAACUAGAUUCUGUUUGCAGAACUUUACUGCAUUUUAACUAAGGGGACUGCCUUCUGCAUGUUGCAUUCUGCUUCUCUCCUGCUCAAUAAAAGCUAUCCAGAAAUGCAUUCCAGAAAUCUGGUUGCUUGGUUUCAUGCUCUGCAAGCAUCGGUUACCAUAGUGUUGUAGAAAAAUACCUUUUCAGGAAGCAGAUACACAAUCAAAUAUAGCCCACUGAAGCUGUGCUGAAUGAACCAUCUGUUAACACAUUGAAAGUAACGUAUUUGUAGAUUAAAUGAUUAGUAACCUUUAAUUUCCUGUUACAGUUGGAGAAAUACAAAAAAAAGAGGGCAUGAGAAUAUCUUCAGAAGCAUCCCUUUACAUACCCUGAAGCUGUCUACCACUUGAAUGUACCUCAUUACAAAUGUCUUGCGACAGUGUUAUAAACUGACCUUCAACAACCAAGUCUUUCUGGAAAGCAAACCAGACAAUUCCUUCCACCUAGACUGCACGCUUUCCUAUAGAUACUCUGCCUCUGAGCCACCGGAACAAUUAAUGCCUCCUUGUUAUUAAGCCAAAAUGUGCCCAGUACUGAUCAAAAAGCAUUAUAUUCGUAUUGGAUCAUUCUUGUUCAAAGGUUGCUUUACAUGUUGUUGUUGUAAUAAAUAUAUGCAAAUUCUUGUCUUUGAUCCCAAAGAGCUAGGCAUUAUACAAAUUUAAAGUCCCUCAGUCCAUACAACCCAAGUAAACACAUAGUAGUAGUUUGGAAUUCCAGGAAGAUGUUGAAACAGGACUCAAGUACUUCUGUCCCAAUUUGAAAUAAGAAAUGAAGUUCUUCUGCUUAUUACUAGAAAAGGUAAAAACAGCUUCUAGACACAUGACUCUUGUUGGUUCUCUGAAAUCUCCUUUGAGCUAUUCAGGCAUUCUGUAUUGAAAAUUUCAAACCAGUAACUAACACACUAUGCUGUCUGCUUUCGUUUAAUGGUUCAGCAUAUUUCAGGUUAUUUAUAAUAUAUCACCCUUUGUCCAAGCCUGAAGCUUUGCUUGUCAAGUGUGAACUAGAACUAUCUCUUAGGCUCAAGUGUGUUUUCAGCUACACUAUGGUAAUAUUGGCUGUGUUAUGUCUCCUGUCUCCCCAUCAAGAAAACAAUUUGAUGUUAACAUGAAAUUCACAGUGUUACAUAUUCACUGGGGCAGCAGAUGUAUGUAAUAUCAUGAAAUUUAAUGAGCUGUGAAGUCACGAAUCAUAUGAAUUAAUGUAUCAUUACUAAAUCUCUGCAUUGCUCAAUUCAUGUACUGAACAUGUACACAGAAUGUUUGGUAUUUUCUAUGUAGUUAUUCGGGAUUUUCUGAGAAAAUGUUCGUAAUUGAUUUGCCAAAUCAAAUCUUUGGAGCAAUAAUUAUUUCUUUUUAGGAAAAUUUUAAUUGCAGGUGUUUUCACCAGUACAGAACUAAAUUCUAAUAAAGAUGAAUAAUGACCAAGGAUCUGGUAGCUAAGAUAUUCAACUGAUUACUCAACUGAAAGCUCAUCUCAUGGCAGGAAGUCUGGUUGUACACAGGAAUAUCACCAAAAUGUGUAGGACAAAAACUAAAGAAAUGUCCUUAUGUGAUUGCACAAUGUGAAUUUCACAUAGAUAGUGUGGAACUGCAGUUUGAUAAAGAUUUUGAGUUAUGUGUGCUCUCAAUCUUCCAAAAAGACAAGCUGAGGUAAUUAGUAGUGCUUUACUUAGAACAUGAGUUUUCCAUUAUUCCUGUGAGUUAUUGCUUUCAAACAACACAGUAUCUCUUCUGUGGUGACACCAACCAGCUAUAAUGUGCCAUUUGGUUUGUUUGUUUGAUUUUGUCAGGAAAUGCCAAUUCAUUGAAAAGAAAGCUGCUUGCAUUAGCACAAUUUCCUUUUGGAAAAAAAUAUUGGAAAAAUGUAUAGUGAAAGGUCCUGCCUAGACAUUUUCAAAAACUAGAGUUAAUUUUUCAUGUUUUAAAUAACUUUUCAGGCCUGUAACCUAUAUUUAAUAUAUAAACAGUUCCCUUCUCCAUAAUUCCAUAACCUGUAAAUUAUACAUGUGUAGUGGAAGCAGGAGUUAAGAUCCAGAGUCCUCUCUCCCCUGCCUUUGAUCACUCAUAGCCUGCUCAAUCUUCCGAGAAGUCUCCAUGCCUUUGAUCUCCUCUGCCUCCGUCUCUAUGUUGUUCAGGUUAUCUGAGGAUGUUGAUUAUUUGAAAAUGUCAGUUUUACUUACAAAAUUAUGCCAAUUAAAACUUUAAAAAAUUGAAAUAAUAGCCAUUUGUCCAAAAAUAUUGAAGAAGUCAAAAUCUAGAAUGAAUAUUUAAGACAUUCUAGCGUACCACGUGUUAAUUGCUCUAAUAUAAAAGUACUCAAAAAUCUGGAUUUGAAGAUUUGUGCUGUUGGGAGUGAUAUUUUUUUGCAGACUCAGAAAUUCACAGUAGGGGAAUUGAAAAGUGGGAUGAUGGAAACUGUUUCCUAUUCAGUUUUAAUAAUUUUUCCUUCAAAACUAAUUGAUCCUUUAGUCUGCUGUAUCAAACACAUACCUUACAUUGGGCUAUAAUGCACAUGUUCUUUCUUUUCAACUUGGAGAUAUGACCUAACCAGUUUGGGUUUUUUUUUUGGCUAAGAAAACUCAGCCUUCUUAUAGCAUAACCCAGCAAAGUGCAUACACAAGCCACAUAUUUUUGUAAUUGAAUUACCAAAAUAUGUGGGGUGUAUUUGGAUAUGUGUACAUACAUACCUGCCAACAAAACAUUCUGAUGUUUUUGGAAGUGAUGUCCAGAUUUGUAGGAAUAUAAGGACCUAAAGACAUAUGUAACUUCCUUCCUGAAAUAAUUAGGAAUGUUUCAAAAAUACUUAUUUUGUCUCUUUGCCCAUAAGCAAUCGUGAGACUGGUCAAUUAUAGCUGCUGAGGGAUAGGUGACACACAACGCAUGUUCUCAUAAAGUCUACUUUUGGCGCAAGCCAGCUAUGCAAAAUGUUCCUCUUACAUAACAUUGCAUAAGAUUUUAAGUUCUGAGCAACCAGGAUUCAUAUGGGACCAUAAAAACUGUUCAUCACUGAUUGAGAAACCAAUGGUACAAAGAAUGCCCUUGUGGCAUCCUUUUUGUUCUGGUUUAUAUUCAGGUCAAGAAUGAGUCCUAGGACAAAUAAGUGGCCCUGGAGGACCCUUGCAGGACCUGCAGGACAGUAGCGAACAGGAAUCCAUCUGCGCUUUCCACUGCGUUACAUCUGUGUGGAUCUCAGAUCCGUGAGGAUUUUUCAUUCUGAAGCCUACGAGAGCAUUGCUGUUGGUGAAGCUGUUCUCUAUGUUGGUGUCCAACUCAGCUAAGCACUGCAGCAGGUUUUAAAAGGAAGCAUUGGGGUGGGAAUUACACUGAUGCAGGACUAGGCACUAAGCAUGCUGCUAAAUCAGGAAUUAAUAAAAGAGUUUCUGGCUUCAAUUCUGGCUAUACUUGUUCUUGGCUUGAAGAGCUGUUAGCAAAAGGAGUUGACAUUGCUUUAUUUUUCACAAGUAGAAGGUGUGCAAGGAUUUAUUGUUGUUUACUCUCCUUACUAGCUAAUUCCCUGUGUUUACUGUCUUCCUACUCUAGUGACCAGGAAUUAGAUUAAGGUGUCUUCAGAGUUCAGUUUUCAAAGGUUGUGGUCAAGUUGGUGCAAACUGUGUAGGUGGUAUUUAGAAAUUAUCUAAUUCAAGGUAGUACUUAUGAUUCAGUGCAGUGUACUUAACACUAAGCAAUGUCAGGUAUUCCAUGCUUUAUACAAUAAUGACAAAUUGUUUAUUAAAACAAGUUAAUCUUUGGUACCUUUGGUUCUAUAACUGGAAAAAAUAUCUAACUGCCAUGGUACUCAGGCAUUUCGAAGAGUGAUGUGCUAGAAGCUUUUAACUUUGGGAAAAAAAUAGAUGCCUCAGAUUUUUUCAUCUGAUGGAUGGUGAUGAUAAUGCUCAGUUGUGUUUGCACUUAGACCUGCAAGAGACAAAUGAGAUAAAAAGAAUCUAAGAAGUGUUUUUCUAUGUCUAAGACUUGGAGUAUGUGAGGGGAUUGAAUGUUUUAUCUCGAGCUCUGAAGUUACUUGAAGCUUCUCGAGUGACAGUGGUGAAGUAAAUGGGGGCUGAAAGAAGAAUGCUGAAGGAAAUGUCUCUGGCAAAGCUUUUCCUAUCAUCAGGUUUGGUUUGGUAUUUUGUAACACCACAGCAUUUUCACCUGUCUGAGGUACUGUCUUGUUGUUUGUGGGGAAAGGAUCAUAUAAUUUUGUGCCUGAAUGAUCACCCCUAAAACCCUCAGUUUUUUCAAGAAAUGGGGAAUAUCGAUGGAGCCUGGCUCUUGCUUGGGCCUCGCUAUGGGCUCCUCUCAGCACUGGCCCCCCACUGGCACUGCAGCCAUGCUGCUUACUCUACUGUAAUGUGCUUCCCUGCAAAGAACAGAAGGGCGGCUCCGGUUUGCAGUGGGUAAUUUCUUCGUACUGUGGACCAGUUAUUGGAAAAGGCUUAUCUGAAUUUUCAGUAGCUGUUGCAAUUCAGUAUAUUGGCACCCUUUGCUAUUUAUGAAUAUCUGCGCUCUUAAGGGAAUAGCUGAUCUUAAAACAUCUGUGAAGAAGGCUUUUCAGUGUGAACAAGAGUACUGGCUAUCCAUUGCUCAGGUUUUUUUGCUGUUUAUUUUUAAAGAUUUUCUUUCUCUGGUAGUGAAGCAGGAAGAAGCUUGUGAAGUUCAGGUACCCAGUCAUACAGCCAGAGUGGCCAAAAGUUUAACAGGUUGCAAACAACAUAGUAAAGUUUAGAGGAGAAGGAAUUUAAAGCAAGAUUGUUCAUGAAAAUUUCAGAAAAGGGAAAAUUACAGUUAAAUUUGUGAUGAGUGACAUAUCUGGCUCUUGCCAUAGAGCAUCUUGCUCAAGUCUCUUAAUUUGAUGCUGUUAACCUUAAGGCAGAAAAAAAGAGAAGGCACAGUGCCAUUUGAAGAUAGACUGAAAGUAGCAAGCAGAUGAUAACUUUUCAUUUGCAUGCAUUCUAAAAUAAUUUUUUCACCUCUAUAUACACAGGGACUUUCACAGAAUCACAGAAUGUUAGGGAUUGGAAGGGACCUUGAAAGAUCAUCCAGUUCAAUCUCCCUGUCGGAGCAGGAACACCUAGAUGAGGUUACACAGGCAGGCGUCCAGGCAGGUUUUGAAUGUCUCCAGAGAAGGAGACUCCACAACCUCCCUGGGCAGCCUGUUCCAGUGCUCCAUCACCCUCACCGUGAAGAAGUUUCUUCUCAAAUUUAAAUGGAACCUCCUGUGUUCCAGUUUAUACCCAUUGCUCCUUGUCUUAUCAUUGGUUGUCACUGAGAAGAGCCUGGCUUCAUCCUUGUGACACUCACCCUUUACAUAUUUAUAAACAUUAAUGAGGUCACCCUCAGUCUCCUCUGAAUUAAAGAGACCCAGCUCCCUCAGCCUUUCCUCACAAGGGAAAUGGUCCACUCCACCAUCUUUGUUGCUCUGCACUGGACUCUCUCCAGCAGUUCCAUGUCCUUCUUGAACGGAGGGUCCCAGAACUGGACACAAUAUUCCAGAUGCGGUCUCACCAGGGCAGAGUAGAGGUGAAGGAGAACCUCUCUCGAUCUACUAACCACACCCCUAUUAAUAUGCCCCAGGAACACUUUGAGAAUGCAGUCUGCAGAGCAAGUCCAUUUUACUGCAUAGUGUUAUACCAUAGAACAUUACAGUUACCCAGAAAUGUGUAAUGCAUCCAGCACUUACGUGUCCUCUUCACUUUGUGUGUUCAUACUUGGUAGUUUUGGUUUUGUGUUCAAGAACAACCAUAUGAAAGAGCAGAAAUUUCCUUCCUCCUCUCUCUCUCUCCCUUUGUUGCUGUGUUUCUUGCCCAUUCUCUCUCGGCUUUUCUGUCAUGUCUCCUAUGGGUUGCCAUUGCCCAGAGAAGGCUCGGAGUUUUCCUUUCUGGUUAGUUUGCAAACUGCCCAGUAAGCUCAGAAGGUUGAGAUGCUGGUUGUUCUGCGAGAGCCGAGUACGGACAUGGAAACCACAUUCGACUGUGAGCAGAAGCCCUCAGCCCAGCCCAGGUUUCCUGUCUUCUUUGCUGUCCCCUUCCUGCCUUCCGGGUGGAGGAAGGAUUGGUGCCCUCUUCUCCCAUGAAGUCGGUCCUGUGCAGUCUCCCUCCACCCAGCCUCCCCACCUCCUCCAGCUGCAGAUUAAUAGCACCAGACGCUCCCGCAGAUGAGUCCUUUUGAUUCCCUUUGUGUUGCCCUUGUGUUACUUCAUAAGCAAAGCACUCUGAGAUUCAUCCAUGUCUCUAAUUGUCACCGGGCACAUAUGCAAGUGAUUUUUAUAACAUCCUUCUUGAAUAUUGGUGAAAUGAGAACUCAUUGUUGAGAGCUAGCCACAUGUUGAAGAGUUUUUCCAUGCAGGAUAGUAAAACUGACUGUGUAGGAUUCUAUGUCUGUUGUCCCUCAAAAGCUGCUGCUCAGAUUUGCCCAGCUCAGACCGCCUAUUAUUUGUAAUUAGUGGCAAACACCCUUCUGAGAUCAGAAAGUCAGAUGUUGCCUUGUCCUUUUCACAUCAUCACUGAUAACAAUAGUAGUAAAUUUGAAAAAGAUAUGAGUUCAUUGUUGUUUAGUUGGAGAUUUCUACUCAGUUCUAAUGAAACCUUUAUUUUUCACCAUGGUUCAAAGUGCACUUGGGUUCUUAGGUUGCACGUUUGUGAGUGGUUCCUUUGAAGACAUUGAUGUACUGUGACCUAAACAUUUUUAUGGUUAAUGGUAAAACACAAGGUGGAAUGAACAGAGCUUGAGUCCUACAUGCCCUGUUAGGAAAAAAAUAAAAAUAAAAAUAAAAAAUAAAUAAAUAAAAAAAAAAUCCAAAAUCUGUUUUCAUCUGCUGACUCAAAUCAAUAAGAAACAUACUAAAAUGGAAUAUCAAGUUUCUGUUUCUACAUACUUGUUAAUUAAAAACAUUUCAAUUGGCUUCUGAUUUUUAUGAAUCUGGAUAUAUCAAUUUAGUUUUAAACAAUCUCAAGGAUCUUUAUGGGAGAAUCCACCUGGGUCAUUUUUAUGGCUGAGGCAUAACGACAUACAGAGUUUACCUGUGGUCCCUGGAAGUCAGUGUGGUCUCCACGGUCCAGGCCAUGGGACUAUUGUGGCAAGCAGCCGGAGUGACAAGCAGCAUUUCCCCUUGCUGACAGCACUGAGGCAGCCACCUUUAGAUCACAGGGAAAAGUGUCUCUGGAUUCAAACCCGUGCAUAUGGCAUUUCACUCCAAAAGACAAUUUGAGAGCGCUUACACCACCUCACUGCAUUGGAGGGCCUUCCUCAGGCUGCUGGCCUUCAAAAAGCUCCAAAUCUGGAAAAGAGAGGAGCUAAGCCACGGACUGAUUUACUGGGGCUGUAGCAAACUUCUCUUACACCAGGCAGCUCCCACCAGCUGGGCAGAGCGGGGCCAAUCCCAGCUGUGCUGGGUUGAUAGGCAGAGUGGGGUCACAUCCAUCCUCUGAUGUUGGACCCAGCAUCUUCUCCUGGCCCCUUGCCGCUGCUCGGCCAUGGGGGCUGCUCCGUCUCCCUUCUCCUCACUGCCAUACCCCUUCAUCAUCUGGAGAGGCUGCCCUGAGUGCUCUCCUCCACCCAGCCACACCUGCCCUCUCCAAAACCUGGGUGCGGGGGCUGCCCCACACUGCCAGCCUGCUGCUUGCACCACCUCUGUGGCCCGCCAGCCCCUGUGGCCAGGGGGACAGCCCCAGCACCUCCCUUUGAGGGCUGUUCUGCCCUCCUAGCUGUCUUCCUCCACUUCAAAGCCUCCAUUCUCACACUUCCUUCCUUCAGUAAUGAACCUUCAAUUUCCUUCAGGUAAAUAAAGUGAAACUGGAAAGAACUGUAAAACAAAACAUAAAAGUAGCUGAGCUGGAGGGUUACUGCCCACAGUGGCCCUGGGAAUGGUUUUUCCUGUCCUCCCGCUGUGGUUUCUAGCCUGUUGUCUCCCACUUUGUUUGCCCUUCCUUACCAGUUUUUUAGCUGUAAGCUCUUUAGCAUGCAGCCUCCUCUUCGCAGGGGCAUUUGUACAGAUGCCAAUAGGUAGAGAGGCUUCUCCCGUGUCUCUGUUUUAUUCAUGUGACAAUCAGACAAAUGACCACAUUUUAAAAAUCUCUUCUGCAGUAGCUACUAAGCUUUGUGGUGUUGAAACAGUCAGUGGAUUUUUUCUCAUUUGUUCAUAAGACUGGGCUAUGAGAGAAAUUCUUCUAUAUGAGGUUUUUAGGCACUGGGAGAGUGUGCAUAUGUUGCUUAGGAGGUUACAUGGUAUUUUCAUUUGGAAGUGACAUUUUACGUGACAUUUUACCUUAGAACAAUAGAUGGGCAAGCCCAAAAUUGCAGGUCUGUAGCAGAAGAGUUAUGUCUAUUACUUAGUCUAUUUAGAAACUUAUAUCUUUUAUAAAUUCUGCCUGAUUGCAUCUCUUUUCACGAAAUCCAGAUGAAAUGCAUUUUGACUGGUCUCAAAUGCGCUGGUUUGCAAACUUGCAGACCAGCUGUCCUACUCACGAGUGUAGAUAAGAGGGCUCAGAUGAAGCAGUUUGUGCUGCUGGAAAGACAACCAGCUUUCUCAGGAGACUGCUUUGAGGGAGAUUGCAGCAAUAUUGCAUCCCCACUGUUACUAGUGGGUAUUGCCACACACGUUUACAAACUAUGCCGGAUAAAAUCAGGAGGUAAUAAAGACAGGUGAAAAGAAGAUAUGAGAGAUCUGCUGUGUAGUUUUUUUUUGUUUGUUUCCUUUUUAUUUCGUUAAGGGAGCAAAAAUGUCCAGGGGAUGGCACAUUAACUCAGGGAAAAGCGAGUGCUGCUUUAAAUCAGACAACUUGUUAUACCAAGUGCUUUAUUUUGGGAACUGUUUCCGUAUGUUAUGAAGGAAAGUUGCAGACUAGGCAAGUUUACUAGACCUUUAAUUGCUACAUUUAGGAGAAAGGCGCCUUUUUUUUUCUUCUUUCCCUUCCCCCCCCUCCCCUUUUUAACGACAAGAAGCCAGAGUUUGCUGUGCAAACGAAGCAGGCUUUGCAAGAAUCAGAUUCACUUUGGACGACUCUUCACAUUCCUAGUCAUCAUUACAUUAGGUGGCACAAUUCCAUCUCUGGUUGAUGGGCAGAAAAAGUGGGCAGCCUGCCAGGUAGACGUUUCCAUGGCUCCCAACCCCCAAAGGUGAUGCGUUUUUCAGCUAAUUCAAUGAAGAGUGGGCUGAACUUUGGGUAUAAACUAGACAAUAGCUGCCUUCGCAGUAUCAGCAGAAUGGUUUAUGGGAAUGCACUCCACAUUUGGCAGAGCAUCAUGUGACCUUACGGCUGAGAUUUUGUGAUGGUGCCAACGGAGACUUGGAAAGCAGCGCCCGUUCUGACUUUUUUCCUCUUCUCUUACACAGCUCAGAAAAUGGUGGAUCUUAAUACUUGACUUUACCCAGACUCAGCAAGCGAUUGAGCUUUGAAGCACAACUUUGCCUUUAUUCUGGCUUUUUUGGCACACCACCAGGAGGCUGUCCCUUUCACGCCUGAUAAAUUCUGCUUCUUAUCUCCAAAUAGAGAAAAGAAAGAAAGAAAAUAUAAGCAAAAUAUUUAUGACUCAUAACUGCAUUUUAACUGUCUGUUUUAUUUUUUUAUUGCUGACCUGUAGUUUAGAACAGCCCUCCUGAGUGUCUGAAGGAUAAAAGUUGUUUUUUCAUUUUUCUGCCUUUUUAUUUUAUUUUUUUUUCCUUCCUUCUGUUUAAUGAACAGGCAUUUGAACCGGGCAAAUGGGGCGACAGCAUUGAACGUGAGCUCAUUGCAGCAUAGUGUAGCAAACUGGCACCCUGCCUUUUUACCCCUUUGCUCCGGCAGACUUGUGCAAUCCCCAUUUAUAAAACCGGCGCAGGGGCGAGGUGAAUUUUCUGGUCUCUCCCCACCUCUAGUCCUGUGCAGGCAGUUGCGGCAAGGAUUGGUGCAGCUUUUGCGCAGUGCUUUGUGCCUGGAAUUCCGAGAAGAGCGCACGAGAGAGAAGACAGGCAUCCUGGUCUUCUUCCGAGAAAGAACAGGAGCCCUAAGAAGAAGAAACAAAUCUGAGUUUGUCCUAUAUACAAGAGUGCAGGAAAAAAAAAGUGACUCUCCUGCUUCCAAAAAAAACCAAAAAAAUCUGGCAUGUUUCACUGCAGAGACAUCAGGAUGUAUUAGAGCAUUUUUAAACAGUGUAACAAAAUGAGCCUAGGAGACUGAUUCUUUUAGUAAAAAAACAACAAAAAAAAAAAAAGAAAGAAAGAAGGAAUUAUUGUUAUUUUUUUUUUUUUCCACUAUUGCUCAUGUAGCAGUAUUUGGCACUGGGUGAAAACGUACCUUUCAUAUCAGUGAAAAAAAAAAAAAAAAAGAAAAAGGAAACUGAAGAAGUUAAUUAUACCAGAAUUCAGCGAAGGUAAUACAGUGAUCUUAAAUAUUAUUUUUUGUUAAAAUAAAGUUAAUAGCAAGAACAUGAAGCAGAUUAUCUUUAAAAGAAUUUAUUUCCUUAAAAGAGCCUAUAAAUAUAAUUUCACAGAUAUGUAUUAAACUUUUGUUAUAAUUAUUUUCUGUAGGGAAUAUUGCAGUUUGAGUAGCCUUUGUACUGUGUGUUUCCAAUGAGCUUUAGGAUGAAUUGAAAGAUCAAUACAUAAUUUGUUCUUUUGUUAUGCCUGGUGAAUAAAUAACAUAGAUGUAUUUACUAGUAUAUUACCAGUAUAUUUAUAGUACGUGUGUCUAUUUGCCAGUAUAAAACUAUAAUGCACUGACCAAUUAUUUUUGAAAUGUGGAAUAUCACUUCUAUUCACAAAAAAAAAAAAAAAAAGGAAAAUUGGAGGAGUGAUUUUAUAGCACUUAUUACAAUCAUUCAGUAAAUUACAUAUGCAGUCUGCAUACUUAUUUCUGAUAUUAGGGUAACUAUUCUAGUUUGAGUUCUUGUCUUACAUAUCUCCUCAGUGUCAGCAGAAAACAAUUAUAAAAAUAUCAUUCCUUCUGAUUGCUGAAGUGUUAUAUGUGAAGUGAAAGCAGGUUUAAAACAGAUUGUUCUAAAAAAUAAAUUAACAUUAUUUUAAAAUGGAAAGGGCUAUGUUUUGAUGUGCAAGAUUUAAUCCACUAAAUUAAAAAAAAAAAAAAAAGAAAAAAGACUAAAAGGUUAUUUGCUAAUGCUCAGAUGUCAUGACUGAACUAGAAAUGCAUGUUGCAGUCUGAAAGAAAAUGAAGCAUUGCUCUGAUUCAAGAACUUUGUUAUUGACAGCGCUCAUUCUCCUGAAAGCAUUUUUGCCCGACUAGCAAUGGCAGAAACAGGCCUUCAGUGGGAACUAGUGGGAUGCAGGCAUUGAAAUAUUAUUCAGAUACAGAUUUCAGUAAUCCACUAAAAUCAUAAAAGACUAUUCUAUACCACGUGGCUUUAAAAUUCUACCUGCUUCUUAUGCCUGUAUCUUACAAAUGCAUUUGUAGCUCUACUGUUACAAGUUUUUCAGAUGUUUCAGAUAUGAUACUUAAAGAUGCGGUGUUUAUCAAUGUUUUCAUCUAGAAUAUGUAAGUGAUAAAACUUUAUCUGUGUCUCACCUUUCUCAAAUACUAGUUAUUGCCUCAGAGGACCUGUUUUCAAUCUGUUGGGUAGGACAGCUUACAUUCAGUGUGCGAUAAUUUGUAUUGUAAUGCUUGCUGGUCACAAGAAGAAAGUAUUUGCUGUGGGAGUUAACCCUGAAGUAUUGCAAGAUUGUGUUUCUACUUUCAUUCUUAUUAUUAGGGAAUAACAUUGAUGGGAGGAUUAGUGAAUAAAAUAUACGAAUUAACUUCUUUGCUUUGAUUAAUAGGCAUCUUUUAACCAACAAGUUAUUGUCAAGCAUUACUUAAUGCCCUGUAAUGUGAAGAAAUAGCUAAGCAGUCUUUGCAAUAUUGUACGGUACCUGUACUCUAGUGUGCGUCCAUUGCUUUUCAGAUUUGGUGAAGUGAUUUUUAUUUUGGGUUGUAGUACAUGAUAUGAGCUCAGACACAAAGGACAAACCUGUAUUGUUCACUUCUAUUUCACAUCCAAUUAUGAAUUCCAGUCUUGCCUGCUAUGUGCAUGCCCUAGUCAGAUGCAAGUUGUUGGGAGUUGAGAGUUCAUCGGUAAGGCAAAGUGUGUGCAAAAGGACAUUAAUUCCUGCUGAAGACAAAACAACGUUGUGCCGUCAAUCUGUAAAAGAGGUGUUUUUUCUUUCCUUUUCAAAAACAAACUAGUUACAAGUCUUUGGCUUGUUUGGUGCAUCUGCCAUUGAAGCAGUUACAUUUGAAGUACCCUUCUUUGCAAUAGAUGGUAGUAUUUUAACUCUUAAAUACUGUUCUUACUUUGCUUCAUAUGUUUAUUUGUUUAAAGUCUUCUGCGUCUCACCGUAACAGGAAAAUGCUAAUCAACGAUGCCAAUUGGCAUAAACCCGUAGAUCCGAUCUUGUGUUGAAACGCACUGCACAAGCUCGCUUCUAUGGGUCUGUGUCAGUAUGGUGAUCUGGCAAAAGUGUAUGUAUGUAGCACACACGGCGGUGGUAUUUGACGACAAGCCUGAGGGAGUGUACAAAACUAUAUAUUGUUUUUGGAAUGCUGUCCAUUGCCUUAUCUUCAAACUUGAUUAAGUGAUUUGUUGUUUCUUGGUUGCCUUAAGCACCUGUGGCUUAAUAUUAGAAUUUACAAGGAGGUGUGAGGGAAUUGUAGGGUUUCCAAUGAAGGAUAGUAGGAUAUACCUUUUACUGGCUUUAUUAAAUAUACCAUGACAUGGUAUUACAUUCAAAAAAUGUAGGGGGAGGAAAAACAACAAAAACAACAACAAACCCCCAAAGAAAGAAUAAGAUAAUUGUAUUUUAUUUUUAUUAUAAAAUAAGACCAAAUGGUCGUUUUUUUCCAGAAAUGCAUCAUUCCUGUCAAAUACAUAUGCAUAUAUAAAUACACAUAAAACACACACGUAUAUAUCUCUAUACAUAUGUAAACAGGGUAGAACAGAUAUUCUACCUCUGCAGUAGAAAAGUCUAUCUAAGCAUAUGCCUUAUAAUCUGAAAAGUGGGUAAUAGCUGCAGUUGAAAACCUACCCCCAUGGGAAAUAUAUAGAGCCUGUGGCUGCUGUCACAUUUCAAAGAAAGGCUGAAGAAGUGAAGAAGACUUUAUGGUCACCGUCGGAAGCUGUGUGCAUCCGGGUUGAGGUAGUAGGUUGUAUGGUUUAGAGUUACACCCUGGGAGUUAACUGUACAACCUUCUAGCUUUCCUUGGAGCACACUUGAGCCAUCGAGGAAUUCAUCACCACUUUAAUCUGAUCAGGGAAAGUAUGCAAAAAGGUAUUGUGUCAUGGCUGUACAUAAUAAUCACUCUGAGGCUUUAUUGAUGUUGAAAUAGUCCUGAUUACUUGAUUAUUUCAUUUACAUCCUGUUAUGAACAAUGCUAACAUGUUCUUUUAAUGGACUGUGACUAUGUACUACAGACACUUAAGGAAAGACUGAUGAUGAUUCUAAUUCCAUUAACAAGAAAGCUUUAAAAGUUUAUUUUGAUUUAUAAAUUCAGAAAAAUAUCAAAUAUUUAAUGCUUUAUUGUUUCUUCAUAGAAAUAGCUUAUCCUAUACAGUUGUUUUUUGUUGCUGUUGCUAUACAGGUGCACAUUCUUUUUUAAAGGGAAAAGAACAAUUUUUUUUCUGUCCUUAUAGUACUUUACAAAAAAUAUUGCAUGCUGCUGCUUGCAUAAUGGCAGGCAGUGUCACAAGUUGAUACUGAUCUUCCUUGGAUUUGUGAUAUUUUUUCUUUGUUCCCCCACAACUCAGUGUUUUGAACACAGAUCCAAAUGACCUCCAGCCCCACCUGUGUUUCCACUGUGUCAUGACUCAUGUGCCACUCACCUAAUACUGCUCUGGGGUCUCGGCACCCAUGUCCUUACACAGCCUGACCCUGACCCCCAAGACCCUUGUCAGUUUUGACCCCGACUGAGACUCUGAUGAUCUUCCUAACUCAGCAGGACCAGGAGAAGGACCAUUCCCCAGUCGGAUGGUUCCCAAAGCACUGGGCGCUGCUGGUAGCGGCAGGUCCCAGCACCAGGUUCCUCCACCCGUGUGGGUCGGGUGCCACAGACAGAAUGAGCCCUCCACAACCCCUGUGUCUCCUGUACAUCUGUCAUGCUUUAUUAUUUAAAAAAAAAAAAAAAAAAAAGAAAAAAGAAAAAGAGAUGUGAUGAUGUGUACAUCCCAUGAAUAGGUAUCUUAUCAAAGAAAGAAAAAAUAUUGAGUAUUUUAAAGAAAAAAUAUUGAGUAUUUUUACAGUUUAGCCAUUUCCAGAAACAGCUAUGAAACAAGAGAGAAAAGGACUGUGGCUGUAUAUCCACCAUGAUUCAUUUAAGUGAGGCCUGCUUCUGAAAAUUACCUGAAAGAUGCAGUCUCCUCAAUGUGAUGGAAGGCAUUACAGCCAAAGUAGGAGCAUCUGGACCAGACAGUGAUGCUCAUUUCAAAAUAGUUGGGAAAAACUGAUACUGUUUCCACAUACUUUUCAAUAAAAAGUGAGAAAGAAAAGAGUUUAAUAAUUCAUAAUUAAUAAUAGUAAUAGUGAUAAUUUUGCUGGAAAAUGCUUUAAGGUUUGUUGAUACAAAGCAAAGGAGCUGGACCAUGCCCCUGUGGUGCAGUGGUUGCAGGGCUGCCACUGAUGUGGGCUGUGAAGAGGGUGAGAUGCGGUUGUUCAACACAGGAGUGGGGACUGUGGUCCCAGAGCUGCCAAGUUAAUGGCAAAUAGGUCUUUCUCCAGGGUAUUUGAAGCCCUGCAUUUCUUGAUUUACUUUUGUUGCAGGUGACCAUAACAAAAUAUUUGACAUUCCUAACGUUUAAUUGGUUUAGGUUUUACACGAGCAAGGAAAGUUAAGAAUGUUUAUUUUAAGUGGAUUUGAUGCUUCCUUGUGUUUUGGUUAUUGUUUUCCUUUCAAUUCUGCCUGUUGAAAAAAUCACUUGCUUACAGGUCCCUAUGUUUGACUUUUUCUACUUCAGCUUAAGGUUUACCUAAUUACUUUCCUAGAUAAGAAAUAAAAAAGGUGACAAAAAUGGAUUUAGUGUUUCUUUUUAAUAGCAUUUCUUUUCAGUGAUUAAUAUUUGUAAUAGGAAAUUGUUAAAGAGGAUCUGCAUGAUGGUUAGGUGGAUGUACAAUGGAUUUUAAGCUUGUGUUAAAGUGUGUGGGAGAGAGGAGGUUGAGUGAAUCAGAGCUACUCCAAGCUAAUGGAAAACGCUUAAGGGGGCAGUGACUAAAUGAGGGACUAGAGAGGAGACCUCCAUCAACUGAUGAAGCUUAACAGGGACCACUCAUAAUCUGAAUAAAAACUAUAAUAUCCUCUGUGGAUUCAAAAGGACUCUGGUUACCAGUAUGUUUUCUUCCUUUUCUAUUUUAUUUUUUUCUUUUGUAGUUUAAGACAAAUGGAAAGAAACAUUGUAAUUGCUGUUUUCUGCCAACAGAGCAACAGGUGUUCAAUCCUUUUAUAUUAAUUCUUCAAUUAGUUGCAAAAUAAGGGGGAUUGUUUAUACUAAGCUGAAACUAAUAGAAAUGACUGAUGCAGAAAAUGUGGGAAUGUUUCAUCUGUCCUUCAAAUGCAUGAUGAAUUUGUAAUUCUAUCAGGCAUAGUUGCAGGUUGCUAUGCAAAUUUCCAUUGCAGCAUCACCAGCUUUAGUGAAUAUACAUUUUCUGGUUUUCUUUCUCUGUUCUUUAAUUUAGGUUUCUUGCCCGGUAAUGUGCAAUACAUUGUUUUGGUAAGAGUUAUCAUGUUACGAGCAAAAAUAAAUGAGAUUGUGAGGUAAUUUUGAAGCGGAUUAAGGUAGAGAAUGAAAAGCAAAGGGGAGAAAAAGCUCUAUUAACAACAGCUGGAUGGAGUUAGGUCUUCCAUGAUUUCAUUUUAAAGUCAUAAAACAUAUUGUCUGUUUUAGGCACAGUCUGGCAUUUUUUAGCUUUACAGUGCAGUUGGAAUAUUAGUCAGUCAUGUAGUACCCAGCAUUAUAUUGCUAUGUUGCUUCUGUAGGAAAUACAUGCACUUUGUAACACAGCUACACAUGGAUGUGUUCCAGUCUAGGGUCCAUCAAACAGUGUUUGUUCCUAUAAGUAAACCAUAAUGUUAUCACCCUUGUGCCUCUACUUUGCUUCUUGCAGAUAGAAGAAAUAUCCGGUAGGAUAUUUUGGGACAAAUCUAGAGAUCAAAUAGAUCUGCAACUCCCAGUGGUUUCUUUGGGUGACACAGGUCCUCAGCGUUUCACAAGUUUAGUCCCAUAGAAAAACUGGCCACAGAAACGCUGACCUGCCCAGCACCCUUUUGCUUCCCACAAUUUCCUUGGUAAAGAUUAAGCAUGAUCCAAGGCCUUAACCCUGGUUCCCAACACAGAAACAGCAAAAACCCGCUUUAAUGCCAGAUCCUGUUUGUCUUAAGAGCUAAGUCACUUCAGAGAGCUGGGGAGAGUUUGGAUUUCCUUCUGCAGCCCACAGUGCCUGUAUCCAGAGGCAUGUCCAAAGAAAACAGAGUUAAAGGGAUGUUUCAGAGUUAAUAACCGUGGGUUGGAUGCACUAACAAAGCUUGGGUGUUUUGGGCCCAGUCAUUUUGAGAGCUUUCUGUGAAAUAAAGCUGCCAUUAAUCCAGUUUACCAGAGUAGGUAAAGCACAUUUUUAGUAAUUUUGUGCUGUUGAAAUAGCACAAAAGAGUCAAAAGUAUAUGAGUGAAUAUGGGUCAAUAUAGUUAAUAUGAUCUAUUUUAUGAAUAAUCCUAUAGAUCUACUUUAUAAAAGCUGGAAGUCAUUAUAGAUUUUUUCUUCUCUGUAGCUGAUGUACUUUAUGUUUUUGUCGUUCUACUUCAACAAAAUAACAUGUCGAGUUUUCCUUGGUCUCAUGGUUCAUUUAACUUCCUCUUGUCUUCAAAUAAGUUGAAGUUAUUUAGAGAUUUUUAGGUAAAGAAUGUGGUAAAAUAUUUAAAAGCAAUCCCAGAAAAGGUUCUCCUUGCAAAUCUGUCUUUUAAAAAUGACAAACAGCUCUUAGUAAUCUCUAAAACUUGUUUAUUGAAACUCUUUAGCAAGAGACCUGUGAUAGGUUGCUUAGCUGAUAAAGUUGGAAUAGAAGUGCACUUGAAAUUUUUUAGAUUUUUUGGAUGUGGUUUCAUAUGACAUUCAUUUAUCUAUUAAGAGUAGCUUCUGGUAUUUUUAAUAAAACUAAAAUUAAAUACGUCUGGCAGGCCCUGUUUAAAUGUGAAUAUUGUUUUUAUAGAACAGUUAACUACAAGAUUGAAAAGCUAAUGCCUUUGCAUUACAUAGUACAGAAGAACUAAAUCGUUUCAGCUUCGUCUUUUCUCACAUACUAAAAAUAUUUACAUCGGCAUAAUCAUUUUGGUAGAGUUUAGUUUUGUACAAGGCUACUGGAUAUUUCAGCUGUAUUUCAUUGUAAAUGAUAUCACUUCUAUGGAGAUUUCAGGCAAAUUCUUGUCUUGCUUUGUUCUUUCCAUCUCUUUUUUUUUCAUGCUACUUCUAGAAACGGUAAGAACAGGCCUUUCAUUGAUGAUCUCAUUUCAAGAAUACUUGCAAAAUCUGAAUAAAAAGUCAAAGAUCAUGCCACUCUUUAUCCAGCAUGAUGUUCUCCUCUGUUCAGAAAUACCUGGCUACUGUCCCCUUAUCCUUUCUUUUGCAAGCAUGAUCAAUAUAUUACUUGAUCUUACAGAAAAAUAAGCAUGAAUCCCAUUGUUCUCUACUGCCUUCGUUACAUCUUAUUCGAAUAGAAAGAUCUCACCGCUAAAUAACAGUAUUUUGAGGCUUUCUGACUAAUAUAUUUGUCUGGUGGAGUAAGACUGGUGCUGAUAUGCUCUAACCAUUGUACCAAGAGCCUCUAGUUAGGCUAGAUUUAUCAAAUGGUAUGUAUCUUACCAUAUUCACUUUUAAUUUCUUCAGCCCUACUGCCCAAAUAUUUCCAGGUUGUAUAUUGGAAAGAAGUAAGUUCAAACCACUUAAUUCGCAUGUUGGCCUUGUGUCUCAUCAUUGGCUGUAUAGGAAGGCAGUAUCUGAAAAUUCCCAGUAGUAGUCAGCCUGUAUUGAUUGUGGCCCACAUGAACAUGGAGAUGAGACUGGAUGCUCAAGUCCAUCUGGAGUACCACGGCUGGCAGUCUGGCUGCAGUCACAGGGAGGUUUUGGCUAAAAAUAUAUUUUUAUCUUUAGAUGGCAUUUACUCAGGAUGUGACUUGUGAAGUACAUCACUCCUGUGGUGAGAAGGCGAGUUUUGAGAGUCAUUGUUCUAGAACACUGUAAAGUAUAUUGUUAUUCUGAAAAGUUUAGCUUCUGAUAUAAGAAUUUAGAGGUGUCUUCAUUAUUAUUUCAGUUUUGAAGUAUAACUGUAUUGGAAGGGCCAAAAUGUAAAUUCAUGUGACAAGUCUAAGAACCUAACUCAUACUUAAUGUAACAUUUUGAAGUGAUCCUACCUUUUUCCCAGAAUGUCUUGAGCAUUUAGAAGCCUGCAUCCUGUUGACUUACAACGUCUGGGCAAGUUUUAAAAGAGAACCUCAGGUGAAAAGGCAUUUUUGCAGCUUUUAGACCAUAAGCUUCAUAAUGGAUGUUAACUCUAUGAACCGGUUGGUGCUGCCUCUAGGUCAUCCUUCUGUACGUGAGACACUUACCUAAACAUGGAGCACCGAUACAUCCUAAGCUGCUUUUAUGAGAAAACACCCCUCUAGUUUUUCUGCUCUUGCGGUUGUAAAGCAAGACGAUAUAAACAAUGUAGUUAGAGCCAACAUGCGCUGUUGGGCAGGGGUGACAUGGGGGCUGCGGCUGCCCCACCAGCCCACCAAGGACAGGUACACAUGGUGUUGUGCCCAAAAGAAAGGAAUCUAGUGUAGCUAUGAGUCAGGUUGGGAUUUUUUGGCUAAAAAAAGUCCAAGUAUUGGUCUAUGGAAGUAAACAUGCAGCUUGCCUAAUGAAUGCAUUAUUUAUUGGCUGUGCAAGCUACUGGAAAUACCAAAGCGGAUAAGGGCUGUGAUUCAAGGCCACGGGGCUGGGCUCACACAGCUCCCUGAGCCAGGAGCCAAGGACGUGGGAAUCCUCACCAAGGGGCAAGUCUGGAAGUCUGGAGCAAACAUCGGGCUGCGCAUAUUGUCGGGCAGGUGGAGGAUACCUUCUCAUACGUGAGCAGCGGCUGUUGUUAGUUAUUGUGUAAUUUGAUUUUACUCUAAUUUAAUGACAGUUCUUAGUGGGCAAUGUGAUUUGCAAGGCUGCUUUCCCGUUUUAUUGAUUAGUCCUUUAAUGUAUUUGAACUUGCACUCAGAAGCUUCAUCAGAGAUUUAGUGCAAGUCUGCAAAACAAGCUUGGUAAGGAAUUUUUUCACAGAACUUGAACUCAAAUGCUUCAACAAGUCAGUGAGGUGUGGUGUGAAAAUAUUUUAAGAAGGAUAAUACUUAGUUAAACUUUACUUUUUAAAUAAUGGACAGGCAAUGCUUUUCCUUCCUUUCUUCAAUAAUUUAUUUUUUCUAAACUCUCAUAAUAUCUACUCAAAGUUAAAUUAAAUAUCUAAUUUUUUGAGUUUUGUAGGAUGUGGUUUUAAAGGGAACACCUCAGACAUUAUCACUGCAAAACUUCAAUGGAAAAUAAGUAACUUGUAACUUCUGGAAAUCUAUGAUUUUAUUAAUUAGUAAGAAAUUUACCCAAUACAGAACAAGUACUGCAGAAUUAGCUACCACAGUCUCCUAGUUAUUUUCAAACUGUACGUUUUAUUCAAAGCAGAUAUUGUAAAGCAUGAAAAACAGGCUAUCCAUUUUUUAUGUCUAUCUGUGAUUCCUGAAUUAUUUAACAAAGAGCACAGAAAAAGGCACAGAGUCUUAUCUGUGUGGAAGGAAGGAAGGAAGGAAGGAAGGAAGGAAGGAAGGAAGGAAGGAAGGAAGGAAGGAAGGAAGGAAGGAAAAUUGAGAGGCAAAACCUUCAUAUUGCAAAUUAACAGAAGGCCUCAUGGGAAUAAGUUUUUGUAUUGCCUGUUCAAUUUUUCUUUCUUUUUUUUUUUUUUUUUUUUAAUGGGCUGAAAUCCCACUUUAUGUCUAAAUUAGAAGGGUGAUAAGUCUAAAGAGUGAGAGUUGAGGGUAGCAUACAUCCCAGACAUAUUGAAACCAUCUCAAAAUUAUCCCACACUCUCAAGCAUUAGGAACCCAUAGAACUCAAAGAUAAACUGAAAAUCCAUUGUGAAGGCACACAGAUAACCAUAACUCUGCCUAAUACUGACAGAGUUAGGCAAUGUAUCUAAUGAUGCUUGUUAUUUCAGUCUUGUCUAAGACAACAAACACCAAAUGAUUAUAUUAUAGCCAUAUUAUUACUGCACAGUAUCAUCAUAAGGGAGAAUUUAGCUCAUGUAGGUGCCCUUCCUUUGUUUCUGCUGAGGUUAUUUAUAUAAAUGAUAAAUAUGAAAUACUCAAAAGCCUGAAUCAGAAAGAAUAAGAAAAGCCCAACUUUUAUAUGAACUGUAAUUAAUCUGCAGCCUGUUACCACAAAACUUAAUUUAGGGAAAUUCCUAGUUAGAAUCAAGAAUGUUAAACAUCUGCGUGAAUAAGAACAGUAUGUGCAGUGGCACUAGAAGUAGCAAUAUUUCUGAUUCAAACCAUGCACUGAAGAGUUGUUGAGGUUAUAGAACUUCUUCCCUUUUAAAAUUAAGUGCUUUAUGAGAGAAUGAAGUUAUUGACUGCUGAUCACUUCCAGACACCAAACAGUCGUCCAUUGGUCCCUUCCAGAUUGUAAUAGCAGUUCCAUAUGAUGCAUAUUAAUGGAAUAUGUCAUUAAUUCCCUAAAUAUCACUAAACUGGUCAAGUCAUUAUAAGUUUCCAUCUCCGUAAAGAAAAUUUGGCUGUUUCAAAUAUUUCAACUCUAUGAAAACAUCCACAGAAUAUGGAAUCUGUUAAAACAGCAACAUCUACAGUGUAAGAUACCAAGAUCUUAGCCUUAGCUAUUUUUCUUAUUGAGAUUGGCAUAUUCACGAUUCAAAUGGAGUUUGAAUAUUUGGAUCCAGAUUCUUGUUUUGAGGAGAAUUUGUGCAUCUCUGUUAUUAUUCAUGAACAUUACUUUUUCUAUCACUCAAAAAACCAGAAAAUGCGUAUAGCUAUGGCAUGAGUUAUCAAAUAAUGUUAAUGUUAUAAUGCAUUGUCAAAAUUGGAGUUUGGUGUUAUAAGGUUGCUUACUUGUUAAGUUAAAUGGCUAAACAGCAAAACAGGCUCUUGCUACGGUUAUGAAAUGUAAUUCUUUUCUUUGCCUUGAUCUUCAUGAAAGGUAUCCUCAAAGCUUUUGUUUUACACAAAGAGAAGCAUUAACAUAGAGUUGAUCAUAUUUAUAGGCAGUUUUGAGACGGAAAAUACAAAUAUUUAAAAAUAAUAUUUUCUUUUAAGAUACAAUCCUAAUGUACCAGACACUAAUUUAUCAUCGGAGGGAAUUACAGCUAUUUUACAAUAUUGAUAAAAUUGUGUUGGAAGAUUCUAUUGACUAGUCUGACCAUUAUCAAUUGUUUCUCUUCAUUCCAUGUAAUGGAACUGUACUUAAAUCAGCCAACCCCCAACUUAUAGUUGAUUUCUGUUUAUGCAUUUUAUACACUGCAUCUCUUAAACAAAGUUAUCUCUUAAACAAAGAUUCCCGCCUGGACACAUUCCUGUGUAACUUCAUCUAGAUAUUCCUGCUCCAGCAGGGGGACUGGGUUAGAUGAUCUUUCGAGGUCCCUUCCAAUCCCUAACAUUCUGUGAUUCUGUGAAAUGUGAUGUUACAUUUUUAAGGCUUAAGAUUACAUUUCUUACUGACUGAAGUCUGAGUGAAGGCUUACUUCAGUACUGGUGUUAAUGAAAACAGAAUCUGUACAUAAAAAAAGUAAGUAUUCACUAAUGUAAGUCUAUAUUUCAAGGAAUAUAUGGGAAACUAGGAAAUACUGAACAAGUCAAAUUCUGUAAAAUAUAUUAGAUGCAUUAGUUUUAUUAAUGUGAUUUUUCACUGACAGCUCCACAGUUAAUACAAGCAAACUUGACUUUUCAUUUCAAAUUAGAGUGGAUCCAAAUGCCUAAAAAAUACCAAACCUGCCUAUAAAAAAUAAAUAAAGUCCUUAAUGAAAUAGAUUAAAAUAUUCAAAUAAAAUUCUGGCCCAAUCGUCAUUUAUCAGUAGUGUCCAUAGCAUGGUACUUGAAAUACUGGAAAUGUAACUAUCUUUGUUAAAUGCAAUAGAAUUUGAAAAUACUGGCUCUUCUAAAAACUCCUAUAUGGCCUCAGAGGACAUUAGCAGCGUUAAAACUGCUUUAAACUUUAAACCUGUGGAUAUAAGUCAAUGUGUGACUGUAUUUGAUAAAUACUUAGGAAUAUUCUUUGGUGAGAGCCUGUACAUUCAAUUUAAUACUGUGGAACACAAAGUUGCCAGAACAUUACCUAGUAUCUGCUUUUUUCCCCCAACCUUUGUCUCCAUAUAUUCAUCUUGAAGAUCUGUUACAGAAUCUAAAAAAAAAAAGCAAACAAACAAACAAACAAACAAAACAAAACAACCAGAAUGGUGGUAAGACAUGUAACUUUAAAGGGUUUAUUUCUUUUUCUAUGUUGGUUACAAGGAGGCUAAUUCAUGUAAUUAAUAUUAUAGUUUAGAAUAUUAAUGUUUCUUAGGAAUUAAAGCUGUUUAACAAAAAACUAUUUAUUUGUUCCCAUGUGAAAUUUUCAUGAAUGUAGUUUCACCAGUUCAUUAUUUUAUUAUUUUAUUAAUUAUUUUAUUUCUUCAUCUAUACUCAAGGAAGAGCAAGGCAAAUGAUAAAUGAUUGAGGAAACAUGAUAGAGUUAUUGUUCCUUCUUAAGUUUUAAGAGCUUUUUUUAUAAACUUAGAGCCAGUAGUUCACCCAGCUUCCAGAUGACAGUUCUGUGCUACAGGGAAAUAGUCAUGUGAUCACUAAAUAAAGACCACUACAGAGGAUGCAUUAAACUAUAUGAAGUGUACAAAUGAAGUCCUAACAAAGUCAAGUUCUUUCAGGGGCAAAAUAAUUUUUUUAAUUAAGAGAAAUUUGCCUUGUUGCUAGAAGUAGGAAUGGUCAAUGCCAAAGGACAAAUUGAUCAUUAAUGACCAUCUAUUAGACAAUAUCUGACUCAGUAAUCCUAAAAAUCCUUAUACUUACAUGUCUUAGCAUCUUCUGAAUAACAUAAUCCAAUAAGUGUAAUUAUUAGUGUUCAUUUGAAACUUCACAACAAUAGUUCAAAGUCAAUCAGCAAAAGAUCAUGAAGAAAAAGUGAAUAAUUAUAAAAUGUAAAGCAUAAUGUAAAUUUUUUAAUAAUUUUUCACCAAAUGAUGUUUGGAGAAUAGCUGUCUGAACAGUUGUCUUUUUGCUAACCUUUAUAAUUUGUUGGAUGAAAUCUGUUUUCUGAAGAUAACUCAGGUUUACGUAGAGCAGUUCAAUGGUAUCUGCUUAAAAAUAUUACUAUCAUCAGUAUAUGGAAGAAAGGUAAAACUAUUCCCUACCAGGACUACAACUCACAGCAUUAUGAAAAAUUCACUGGACAUUUUAGAAGAAUAAGUGGAGUAUACCAUUAAGCAAGAUGUAUGUAAGUGUAAGGCUUUGCUAGUAUAUUCAUCAAACAUUAGGGAAUAGUCAAAAAAACCACAGAAAUACACACAUUUUCAGGAGUCUGUCAUCUUCCCUGUUAACCUUACUGGGGUCUUUAAAAGAGCAUUUUUACUCAGGAAACCAUUCAGAUUUGUUAUUCUGAAAGCAAAUGUCCAUAUGUCUUUCUUCCUUUAUACACCUCUAUUUAAUACCUUUCCACAGUCAGAUUCUAACAAAUAGGAUAUACCAAGGCUUCUAACACCGUUUUGUGACAUGACAUCCAUGGUGGAAAGCAGGAGCUCUGGACAAUUAAAUGUUUUGUUCAAGCUCAUGCUAGAUACCAUUAUUGUCAUUGGGAUCAAGCUUUCUAAUUUGCCAAGCUGAUGGCUAGUCCAGUAUAUUUCAGGAAGUUCUUUCUGGGCAGUAUGUUAAAGGUCCGGCCUCUGUGCUCUAAAUUAAAAAAACACCAUCUCACAGGUUGAAGGCUGAGUAUCACACUAGAAGGUGUUUUCUUUAUCAGUGUGAUGUUCUCACAUUGUAUUUUGUAAUGUAGUAAUUACACAGUUUGCCCCACAGUUCUUCUUGAAAUUAAUGCAUAUCUUGUAUUUAAUAAUAACAUAGGUUUGAUAAUACUAUUUCAUUGUCAUAAAUAUUAAAAGCUACAUAAUGUAUGCACAUAUAAAUACUGCAGUAAUGAAGGCCCUUUAAAUAAACAGCACUGAUUCAGAUUCAAGUGCUGAGGCUCAAUGGAUCCUGGAAGUAAAACUGACUCUACAAAUAAAACAAAAAUCUCCUUUGUUGAUCUUCGUUGUCUAAGAGGAGGGGAAUGUACAAGGACGACAAACAGUGAUGGAAAAGUUCAAACUUUUUCCUAUAAUUUUUUCUGCAGCAUUGACUUUCUAUUACGGAAGGUGAAGAAGCACCCUUGCCAAUGGUGCAUAACCUCACCUGUUCUUGAUCCUCACCUUUGUCCUGGCCCCUUUUCUAUGGCAAGGGCCACCAGAGCUGCCAGACAUGGCCCUGAAAGCCCAGGUCCACCUGGAGAAGAGGUCUCUUGUGGCAGGAAGUGAGGAAAUGACCACUGGGCUGUUUUCCAGGUGAGACCUCGGGAGGGCCGGUUCUCUGAGCCAGCCAGGACACAGCUGGGGGAACCCCAGCCAGCCCUGCCCUGGGAGCUGCCAGCCACUAUUGGAGCUCAUGAGCAGCUGAGCUCUCCCUGCCAGGACCAAGGCAGCCUCAAAGAGACGACUGAAUUGUGUGAGGAGAUGCACAGCAGCCUGGGAUAAAGAGGGCUCAAAAUUGGCUUAAAUCCAUUUUACUCCCACAUGCUGCAACAUGUGAAUUGUAUGUUCUGCACCUUAGAAAUGACAAAUUUAAAGUGUCUGUGUGAAGCAGUGUUCUCUUAACUCUUUAAAGUCUGUGGCAAAAGGCUACAUAAUCUCAAAUUGCAAUAUUGAGACAUGAAUUUCAAGAAUCCCACAAUUCUGGGAGCAAUGUUUGGCAUGAGUGGGAAAGGGUUCAACUGUAAAAUUUACAGUUUGAGAAUGUAAAAGUAGAAGAUCAGAAGGGUUAAAAUCCAAAAGGGUCUAGGUCUGUGGAUCUUGAUUCUGCUUGGAGUUGCUUAGUUGCUUUGCUGGUUGUAUGUGGAUACUAAUUUAAUUAAAAGAUAUCAAUCUCUGUUGUCUGUGAAAGGGACAGUAUUGCUCAGUUCUUGCACUAAGCAAAAUUACUUUGGGGAAAAUGCGACAAAAUAUAUAAGCAUUUCGUAUGUAGAUGAGACCAUGUUUUAGCUUCUGUACUGACAAAUUAAAUAGUAGCAAUUCUUCAAUACUGAAGAAUUGAAUAGUACUGUGACAAGUUUUUGGAAAAUUGUUUCAGAUUAUUCCAGUGCAGUAUAUUUCUGGGUAAUAGAAAGCGUCUGGGAAUUAGGGGAUGUUCUAUUUAGAGUAAGACGGUAAAAUGCUGGCACACAUGUGGUAGUUACCAGGGCUUUUUCUGCAAAAGACAUUCAUUUCUCGGUAUUCUAUUAAAAACAAAAAAGAAAAAAGAAAAAAAAAAAGAAUCAGCCAACAUAAUUUUUGGACUUCAAAAAGCUUUCUCCACAGGAGCAGCUGUUAAGGAAGCUAAGUAGUCACGGAGGGAGUGGGAAAUCCUCAUCAUGGGGUAGAAAUGGCUAGAUACAGAAUCUAAAGUAAAAAUAUCUAGUCAUCCUUUACCAGGGCUGAAAGAUUACAGUGGGUUGCUCCAUUGUUUCACACUGUGAUGGUUGUUACUUAACAAUUGUAUUAAUGAUUUGGAAAGAAAGAGAGUGAGAUUGCAACAUCUGCAAAUGGCACAAUUAGCUGGGUUACUCAAGUCCAAAACACACUUCAGGAGGGAACCCUCAGAACUACAGCAGUAGAUGAAACAAUGUCAAAUGAAGUUCAGCAGUGAUGUAUGAAAGCUAGCAGGCAUUGAAAGAAGUAAUCUGAACUAUUUAUGACCUCUGUUGGGUUCUAAAUGGAUUUAAAAAUACCAGGAAGGGAAAUCAAGUCUUUGUGGACAACUCAAUAAAACCUAUGAUCUCUUUUAAGGUUUCAAUGGCCUUUCCCCUCCCCUUAUAAAUCCUCCAAAUAAAACAAUCUCCUCACCACAAAACAAGAAGCAAUGGCAACAAGAUCCUGUCUAUGUGCUAUUAAUCUACAUACAGCACAGAUAAUGGCACAUAAUGCAGCAUCUUCUCUUAUUCUGACUACUGUGAUAGAGAAAAAAUGAACAAAAGGAGAGAAGAAAAUAUAUUUCCAAAUGAAUAUGUCGUGUCUCCUUGCAAAGUGCAACAGUAAGUGAAGAUUCAGUGGAAGUGAGGAGAUGCAAAUUCGUCAUCUGUAAAAGGAAUAUAUUUCUUCAUUAAGUAAAUAUCUAAAUGAUAGUCACUGCAAGAAGGAUCCAAACUUGUAGGCACUUUUGUUUGGGAGGGCAAUUUAGAUGUGUACAGCCAAACUGAAAUCAAAGUGAAUGUAGGAUCUACCAUUACAGGGUUCUGAGUAUCCCAUUCAGAUUCUUCUUCUGACUCAGAAAUCCAGAUGGGCAAUGUAUCAGUGAAGAUCUCAGCUGAGUCCUUCUAGCCUUCUGUUCCCUCUAUGGUGCAAGAUUUACUCUGCCUGUGCCACUGUUGAAACAGCUGGGGGAUUUCUGUGGAUAGCCCUUGUUCCUUGCUUAUAUUUUAGUUAUUACUUAGAACAGCUAAGGUUUACAGAGUUACACCUGUAGCUAGCCAGACUGUUGCUCUUCUCCAUCUGCUAGGCACAUGCUACAUGUGUGUCCUUACAGCUUGAAGGUAAGGAUAAUAGUAAAUCAUAUAUGCUAUAAACAAAUGAACUACACAGUUGUGCAAGAAAUUCACAAGUCUUACCAUGAACAGUCACACAGUCACAGCAGAGAUCUCUACACAGUGCACCUCCAAGUGGAAUACAGGAGAGCACAAUACGGAAAAUGUAAAAUUAGCAUUUUUCUUUUUAAUAUUAUGUAUGAAUGAUAGAAAUAGAUUUUAAGUAGAAAAGUGCAUCAUGCAGUUGCUCAAACAACCUUACUUUCCAAAAUAUUUGAAAAAGAGUGGAUUUGUGGAAAUUCUUUAAUAGAUGUUCGUUAAGAUGGCCAUGGUUCAGUCCCUUGAUAGAAAUUAGUUUGAACUUGGUAUAGGUGGAACAUGCUCACAUAUGUCUAUUGUUCAGCAUAAAGAAAAAGUCCAGAUUUUGCCUAAACUUUACAUUGCUGCCAGGCUAUUCCAUACUACAAUUACAGCAAAGAAUGUCAGAAAAACCCCAAACCAAAUAAGUCACUUGAAACCUUGUAACAGUUGCUCUUAACUCUAAUGCAAAUCCAUGCACCAUUCUACUCUUUGCUUUCUUUGCUUCUUUAUGGAAGUUGUGUCUUGCCCUAGGUCCUUUCAUAUACUUGCAAACAGCCUCUAAAUUCCUAAAUUCCCUGUUUUCAGGAUUAUUUUUUUUCGUAAUUCUUUUGUCAUUAAAUAGUCCUCUUAAUCCCUAAAUACUUCCUCUUCUCUUUUACAUUUUGCAAUAUUUUCAUAUCCUCAUAAGAACCUAUAUUCGCUGCAUGGGAAGGUAGCAGAAUUCUCACUGUGAUGUUGCUAUUGCUAUCUCCUUUCAAUGCCUAUCAAGAGAGGCGAGACUCUAUAUUCCCUUGUACUGCUGCCAUGCUCUGGAGUCCCUUCUCUCUAUUGAGUCUUACCACUGAUGUGGUUCUUUGACUUCCUUAUUUUUACGUGAAAGUACAAAAUCUAGAGGUGAAAAUGAUCCAUUAUGAUUACUGAACCCCUGAAGGAUUAGUCCAUGCUCAUGUUUAGUGUAAGCUAGUUUUGUAGAAGUUAGCCAUUAUCCUGAAAUAAUGUUUCAUUGUGGAAAAUAAUUCCUUGUUACACAAAUAGAAAUUCUUAUUCUGAUUUGCAUCGCACUUCUCCUACGUAUGACUCUGUAUAGAAAAAAAUUGCACUUCUCCUGUGGAGAUAAUGCCCAACAAAUACUUGUAGGCUGUUGUUGUGCAAGUACUUAAAAAAUGUACCUCUCUUGACAGUUCUCUCCAGAUUGUCAAAGUGUUUCUGGCCAGAAUGGGAUGAGCUGGUGAAAGUUCAUUUGGCUGGUACAUCUCAUUUUAGGGUGCUUUUGGCUAUACCUCAGUAGCCAUGGCAAAUGAGAAAAUAUUCUCUUACAAUUUGUUUGUAUAUGGGUUACCUCAACAAACCAAAGUUUUAUAGAAAAAAAAUAUGUAGUGCAAGCUUUCUGGCCCAAGACUUCCUGAGAAUGCUAUGCAGUACUUUACUAUUAUGUUAAAAUGGAGGUACAAAUGUUUUUUUUUAACCUAUGAUCUCUCCUUCAGCAUUGCCUUUUCCAUGUAUUUUCUGGAUCCAGACUAUGUGGUGCAGGUUAUUAUCCACAAAAUGUAAAUUAACUUAAUUGUAAUCCAAAAUUAAGUUCAAAUAUUCUUUAUCUGCAGGUAGACAUGUUCAGAACAUGUUUGUAUACCCUAACAUGAAGUAGAAUUGUGACAUUCAGGACCCCAUCAAUUAAUUUACUUUGUGUUAAUUCCUGGUCAGUGUUGUGUCUUCCCCAUUUAGUCUGUUAAGUGCAUACUGGUAUUGCUCACCAGGCUGGCACUGAUACCUAUCAGUCUGCUUUUCCCACUGAUCUCCUUUCAAAGCCAUUAAGAGCAUGGCGGUCAUUUAUGCAUUGAUUGAAUCAAAUUCAUUUAAAUGCAGACUGCUUGUGUACACAGUUAAAUUCAGAAAACAGGUUUUGUAUGACUAAGACACUUCAAAAUUUUAAUUUCAUAUAUGGUCUGCAUAUGCCCACUUAAAAAAUUACUAGUUACAGUCACUUAAAAUAUUACCAAUUUAACUCAACUUGAUUAAUCUGUGAAAAAAAAGAAGGAUGUUUUUAUUUCCAUGCUUCCUCUGACAGUCUUCAUUCUAAUUAUUUCAAUGCUGAUUUUAAGACAGGACUGCUUUAGAAUAACGAUACAAUUCAUUAAUCUUAUAUUAAGGAUACCACAACGUCUCUUUUCGCUAACCUGCAGUGGUCCUCAGUAAAAGUCAGCAUUUAUCUAUGCUUGCCGUGCUUGAUUGUCAACUCCAGUACUGCUAUUUCCUACUGUGGAUAAAGGGAAAUAGCACUGAUGUUCAAUGUCAAUUUGGGUAAAUUCUGACUGUAGCCCUGAAAUAGAGGAGUGAGACCUUAAUGAAUGACAUGACUGGGUUUGAACAGAUCAGUCCUUUGCUUGAGAUCACUUUAGCUGAUUUAUUUGAAGUGAAAGGGUGGUCUGUGAAAGAGAUGUUAUUGCUCCAUCAAGCUAUUUUAUCCCUUUGGGGAAUAAGUUGAAAUGUAAAUAGGUACUGCGGAUUUUACUCCCACACCUAUUAAUGUUAUAUUUGAAACUUUUACAAAUCAAAAGAAAAAUCCUGCCUUCAGAUUAGACAAUGAGGAGGAACUUAGAGUGAGAGGAUUCUGGGACACCCUAUCACGGGCACUAGUAAUCAUUCCAAGACUCUAGAUGAACAAAUGUGGAGUGUCACCUGAUACUUUGUGGUCCCUCCUUACUGUUUAAAUGGUAUAAAAAUAGUAAGAAAUUAUAUUAAUAAUGAACUUAUAAUCUGUGAAAACAUGAGUAUGAAUAUUAUGACAAUUACAGAAGUAGUUUUCCCUGGGAAUAAGGGGAAACUGUGUGUUAAACUGAAUGUCUGGUAUUUAAAAUAGAAAGCUGCUGCCACGAGGUCACUAGCUAAAGUUGUGACAGGAGUGCAGAAGACAAUUUUUAAACAAUUGAAAUCUGUCUGAAUUGAUGGAAAAGUAGAAGUUACAAGCCUGUCCUCAUGUAUCAUUUGCUUCAUGCUUUCUGAUACUACUCACUGAAUAAUGAAGAUGCUUGUUGACUCAUUUGCUGAAUUUUAAGAAUGAAGCAAGUGUAAUGGCACUGUUUGGCAGGCUGAAAAAAUUCUGUGUUUCAAUAUGCUUUUGAAAACUUCUAGUAUCAUCAAGGCUCUAUAGUGCCCUUUUUCUAUGGUGGGUGUAGCAAAGCAGUCUACCACUUCUGCGUUGGACCAAACCACUUUAUAAAUCUGGGGACUUACACAUUUGGCUAGAUCAGAGUUUGUUUGCAACACAGAAAGGCCUGCAAUUACCUAACUAAAAUCCACAGAAAAUUUUGGUAAUUAAUUUUUCAAAUAACUGUGUUUAUGUUGUCUGUACCUUGUACAGAGGCUUAAUGUUUCUGUCUAAUAAAGGAAAAAAAUCUAUAAGAAUCUCUCAGUUGCCUGGUUAUGGCUUUACAAAGAACUUUAAUCCUCCGGUGGUGUAAUACAGUAGUAUAUUUGCUUAGCUUCUUGUAUAUUUUAUUAAUGGAAUAAUUCUCUCUUUAGAAUAGUCAGUUAUGUCUUUUAUGGCAUGCAAAGUAUAAUAGUUUUUAACUAUGUUUUGUCAGAUUUACCUACAGAAAGUAUCAUCAGAUUGGCUUUCUGAACUUCCCAGAUGUAGUUGAAAUACCUGAUUUUGUCAUUAGAAGUUGUGUUUAUAGCUUUUCCCUCUUUGCAAAGCUCCCAGGAUGGAUCCCAAAGGAUCCAAGGAUGGUAAGAGAAAACAAAAGUAAUUAUUAAAAAAACAUUUUACUGUUGGCUAGCUGUUAUUGUUGUUGGGUUUUGUUGGCUUUAUUUCUUUAUCCUCUGGGGUACUUGCACUUAGCAAACUUCAGGGGCUGACUGUACAAAGUGGUUCACAUAUUGGUAACAAGAGAUUCCUUGCAACCGAGAAUUUAUAUUCAAAGACAGUGUGGCUACCACUGCUCAUGUUGUACAUAGAAUGGAAUUUGACCUUCAUGAAACAACUGCAAAGAGCCUUUGAAAUCACUGCAAUAAUAUUAUUGGAAAACAAAGAGGAGCUGGAAAACAGUGACAUUUUAGUGAAUAUAGAACAGCAUGUAAUACCGUUACCUGUUUUGUGUACCCUCUGUCCUCCAUCAUUUCCCAAAAAUAUGUUACUACAUUUCUGUGCUGUUUCAUUUUUCCCACCUGGCACCUCCCUUAGUAAUAUCCAACCCAGGUCUCUUUCCUUAUAGCCACCUCAUAGUCUUUUGUUAGAGGGCUUAUCUGUGGCUAUCUAAUUUGAAGAAAAGCCUCUGGCAUCCAUUAAAUGUAUUGUUGAAGACAGGGUGCUGAGUGAGGAGACCCUUGGAUCGAGCCCAUUAUGGUCAUUUUUAUGCUAUAUCAUGGACUAAAACUAAAACUAAAACUAAAACUCCUGCUAUUGCUGGUUAUCCUACAGGCAUCUCUCCUACUGGCAUGGAAGCAUAUUGUUUAAAGUGUAGUGCAGCUUCCACUUCUUCAUGGAGAAAACCAGUGUAUUAAGAAUUUACUCAAUUUCCUUGUGUUGCCAUCCUAAGCUGCAGUUUUAGACCCUGGAAGGGCAAGGCCAAGGCUCGUACAGCAGGAUUUCGCACAGGAAACCGUGCCUUUCAAGGUGCCAUUGCAACCUAAUAAUGAAUGAUGAAGAAAAGAUGCCUUUAUUCUGAUACCUGCAUCUCCUCAGGUCCAUGCUGAAGGGCAGAUCCCCUCUAUGAUGUGCAAAUGAAGUGCUUUAAGCUAACACUUUACGUCAAAUUUACUUUAUUAAAAAGGAAGUUAAGUUCUGGGGGCUAUUGCAGCAGUAAAUUAAUGUGGCUUUGGGAAGGUUUUUUUCCGCAUGUGCAAUAAUUCUUUAAGCUGCCCAGUUGCUCGCAUUGCUGGUCUCUUUCAGGCAGCUGGUGGUCUGUCGCAUGUGCGUGUCACAUGGAGUUCUGAUGUGCUUGCAGAUACUGUGAUCCCCAGAGAGGCGUGGUCCUUUUUGGGCUGAAAUGCUCGGUCAUUGUGAUGAGAUGUUCUGCUUAGGAAUUCAGGGCACAACGUAGACCUAGCUGUGGAUCAUGCCAUUCCCCCUUCUUUUUUUUUGCAUAAGUAGGGGAUGUGAUAUGUUUCACAAUGAAAUGCUUCGUCUUAUGUUGUUGCUCUCAGAUUGCACGUGUGAGAACACAGCAUCUCGAACAUGAUUUACAAACACGGAUCCAGUGUCUGAUGGCACUUUAUUUGCGAAGGAAAAGGCAUAUGUUUGCCUCGUGGUGUGUGCCUGUAGAUCAAAAUACAAUGAAAAGUGCACUGACUACAUCAAUGAUAGGCAUGUUACUUACAAAAAAAAAAAAAGGCAUAAUACUGGGUGUUGUAUGGAGAUAACAUACAAUUUAUUGAUUCUAUGGUUUCUGACUAUAGUGCACUUUAUGAAAAUCCUAAGCCUGUCUUAUUUUAUGUUUGUAAAUAAUUGACUGAGAACGUUGUUCUAAAUUGGAUAAGUGGAAUGAGAUACAUGCAAGGAGAAGGUUGUACAAGUAAUUAUAUGUGUGCGGUACAUUUAAGCCCUAUUUGGCAAAGUUCAAAUUACUUCUUCAUAGUGUCUGAAAAUCAGAGAUCUAAUUUUGGUUUUAAAUCUGUUGUCACAGCUAUCCUUAGCUCUGCAGUAAUUUGCAUUUCAAGCGUACUAGAAUCUCUGAGCACCUCCUUUGUGUGUUGUAUAAUUACUGUUAAUACCUGAUUUCACAGUUAUUUAUAGCCUUGAUGUAUUACUUGACUGUUGCUAAUAUCUCAUUUACUAUUCUGACCACCUUGAACAGCCUUCUACAUGAUACUUCCUGGAGUGUCGAGUCUUUUAUCCUCUGGAUGUAUCUUCUAAUUUCUCUCUGGCUGUAAUACAGUCUCAUAUAUUUGCUACAGACAGUAUUUUUAGUUUUGUAUUGCAGGGUUCAAUGUGGAUGCCAGGGAGUGUAGUAAGGCUAGUGCACAGACAGAAGAUGGUGACCCUUAGUGUCCUAAAGAGGUGACUUUAAGUGACCACAGUUCACACAGCUUCCGGUUUCAACUAAGUGUAGGGCCAUUUGCAUUCUGCUAAACUCAGGGUGCCACUGAAAGGAGAACUCCACCCUCUUGCCAGUGGCACUUAUUUCCACCUGGCUUUUUGUGCUGGCACUUAGUUUACGUGGCUGCUUAACGAGCCACAUUGAGGAUUGAUCCAGCUGCAAACUAAUCUUGUAUUUCUUCUGAUUUGCUUUUGGGGUCACUUCCCUAUUCUGCUUUACGAUGCAGCUGUAAGAUGCAAGUGUCAGCACAAACAAGGUGGAGAAACAAAUGACUGAGGUCAGAAGGGAGGGCAGAAAGGACCACCUUUUUCAGUAUAUAUCCUGAUUUAUGCUGCAGGUUGAAGGUCCUGAGUUACACAGUCACUGAAAACUUGCAAAAGGGAAUUGCUGCCUUGCACAGGAACAAGAGUCUGCCAAAAAGGUGAUUGACAACAUCACUGAACUUUAAAUGGCAGCAGCUUCUGGCUCCCUGUUCGGUCUCUGUUGACAAGCUUUGUCCUCCAUAGGGCAGAUGUAUGUGAAGUGUGAUACCCCAGCCCUAGAAAGUUGUUCAAUCCUUUUGCAGUGUACCCCGUGGUACAGGGUACAUAAAGGGCUCUCUGCAAUUUAAACUGGUGUAACUAAAUAUCUCAUAGAAGAUAAGCAUAAUUACCCAAACCCCUAGGUAGAAGCACCCAUAAGAUUUGCCAAACUAAAAUUCAGAUAAUUGGAAGAUCUGGCUUAGCACAUUCUGAAAUUGGCAUGUCAGGUCUAAAAAUCUCUGAUUCAGUCUUUCUAGCUCGGUCAUUUGGAUUUCCAGUUGGGAGAUUCAUUCAGCAGGGCUUAGGUAUUAAACCAGAUAUAUAAAACCCACCAAAGCCUUUGCCUCAGGGGCUGCCAUGGGAGUUACAUUCCUGGAUAAAUCAGAGUACCAUCUGUACUGCCAACUGCGAUGUGAGAGAGUUAAGCAAGGUUUUCUAAGCAACCAAAAACACCUAACGAAUAUAGGUAAUACCUCUCUCAAGGCUACUUUAACUUUUCCUAGACUCUCCCAGGCCUCUGAAAGGUAUAUUUCAGAUUGUGACUCAAAGUUACCCAGAUCUAACUUAACUGAAAACCUAGGCAGGCGGUCAGGCAAUGUGAAAUAAUGGGCCAUGGGUGAUGUCUGAAUUGGAUAAUAAAUCCUAACCUGUUUAUUAAAAAUGGAACCAGAUAGUUUUGACAAGGCAGAGUCUGAACUAGAUAGGGCUAUUGGUGAGAAAGCAAAACAACUGUGGUGAAUGGAUGGUAAAUGAAGUUUGUAGCAUUUAAUUGUGCCAAUGAUUUUGGAAAAGUUGAUCACAGGAGGCACUACAGAAGCUCAGUCAUUGGGCAGUGGCAGAUUAUGUUCUGUCAAAAUUGACUCCGUUUUGUGAUACUUACAUUAAUUAUCAGGCAAAACCUCAACCACAGGUAAGAGUAAAUACACAUCAGGAAAUGAAGGGGGAAAGCUUUCCAGAAACAUUGUAAUUAAGUGCAAACUAGAUACUUUUAAUUUUAGAAUGUUUACAUAAAUCUAUACAUGUUAAUGGACAGAAAUGCAUGUCUAAAUACCCUCAAGUUUGCCCUGGAGUGAUGUAGUAAUUACCUGGUUAUGACUUGUGCAUGUUAAUUUUUGCAGAUGAUUUAUCUGGUUUAUCUGGCUUUUAAAGACGUGAUAUUUUCCUUUUUUUUUUUACUUUUUUAAAUGCUCCUAUUUUCACAACAGAGCACAGAUAGCAUAUUUAACAGUGCAGUCCUAUAAUUAUGAGUGAAGGGGGAAGCACAGGCAAGAGUAGACAACAAGAAGCAAGAGCUGAAGGUGAGGUAGCUACCCAGUUAAUCUGUGAGGGAGGAGAUUACGGGCAACAGCACGAAGCCAGUGCAGAGAUGUGGCCAGAGUGGCAAGCAGAAAGGACACUGUCAUCCGCAUAGCUAUAGCCCUGAACGGCUUCCUGAAGAGCAUUGAGUUUUCUAUGCCAGAUUCUGCUCCAGUGGCUAGGACCUUUAUGGCUGCUGUUUCUUUUGCUCUGGGCUCAGAUGAAGGAAAAAAAUAAAAAAAAAAAAGCCACGGUGGAUCCCGUCCCUAAAGCAGAAAUUUUCUUUUUCGUUCUGCAAACAAGGCUAAAGAUCGGAGGAGAAUGAAUGCAAAAGUAAUUCAGGAUUGUGGUCGUGCCAUUAAAAUGUUCGGCUUCAGAGCGAAAUUAUUCAGGGAAUCUGAGCAUUUCUUCUUACUGUAUCGACAGUAUUUGAAAGUUAUGUGUGCUUUGAGUAAUCUGGUUCAAGUGACAACCAGCUCUGCAUGGCAAUGUUUUCUACAGCUUAUGAAGCGAAAGCCAGUUUUGCCAUUGGAAAGGAAGAGGCUUUUGCUAGAAGUCUGUAGAAGGAUUAAAUGUUGAACGUGGGGAAGAGGCAAAAAGUGAAUACACGCCCAAAGGUUAUCCUGGCAUCGUGAAUGGGUUUAAAGUACUCUGUAACCCAGGGCCCACCUGAACUGUAGGACUAAAAGUAUAAUGGGGAAAGAUUUCAAUUAGAAACCCCUUAACAAGCAUUUAAUCCUUCUUCAGGCAUUAAGGGAACUCGACUAAAAUUGUUACUGUACAAAUCUGCUGGAAGCAGAAUUUAACCCAUUUUUAGAUGCUUCCCUCUGAUGCAGUAUAAUAUGGCUACUUGCAAGACGAGGCAGUGAAGAUUUUUUUCCUGUGUUCUCUGGUUUUUCUUUUCAAAAGUUAAGGAUGAUACUCUAAGAAAAGUCUGUUCAGUCAGCUGAUACAUUGUUCGAAUGUAUGUAUGUGUCUUGCCUGCUUAUUUGAUCUUUUCUGCCCCCUACUUGAAACUGUAGUUUGUUUAUUUGGGGGGAAGGAGGGCUUGUUGAUUUGGGGGGUUACAUUGUUUUUUGGGUUUGUUUGGGUUUUGUUUUCUCUUUUUUUUUCUUUCUUUUUUUUUUAACAAUAGCAGUGAAAGUUUUACUGACAGCGAUUAUGACUACUAAGCAGUUCAGUUUAUUGGAAGACGAAUUCUACUGGAUCAUAUCGGACUUUUCCUAGUCCCUGAGACCCUAACUUGUGAGGUUUUUUAGCAACAAUCACAAGUCAGGCUCUUGGGACCUAGGCGGAGGGGAACCAGCAGCUUUGGACUGUGAUUGUUUCUCUGCAGAAUUUAGAAAACCAAAGGAACUUUCCUUGUCUGGAAGGGAAAAAAAGGAAAAUAUACCUAAUAAACAAACAAAUAAAACCUGUUAUCCAUUGUGCAACAUUAGGAUGUUAAGUAUUUGUAUGUUUAGAAAACUGGACUAGGUGCCAUGUAACACUGAGAAUUACAAUUUAAACUGAAUGCCAGUUUGCACCUCUAAAAAAAAAACCCAAACACAACUCAAACUCAAAACAGAUACUAAAAUAUACAAAAGGUUUUAAAUGAUAAUAAUAAUAGUAUUAUAGGCAAUUCUGAUAAUUACCACAAAGUAUGUUUUCAGCUGUAUUGUUACAGUAUUAAGUUUUAAAACAUAAAGCAUAAACACUGCUGUUUGAGGCCUAGAAAACAUUCAUUCUAUUGUUGUUUGAAUAAUGAUUUCAGUCUACAGGAAAACUGUUGCUUAGCUUUUCCUGUAAUACGGGACAAAGAUUAUUUUGUAGUUAGUUGCCAUCAUUUUUCUUUGUCUAAGUGAGAACACAAUACGCAUUUAAAAUAUUCUCCCAUGGAAUUUACAUUUUAAUCUGAUAGAAAAUAUGGGUGUAAAAAUCAUAUUACAGAGUUUGAAUCAGUUUGCACACAAAAUCACAUUUCUUGUACAUGUUCAAUUUAAACUGAGUCGGCAAUCCUCUAAGCACCGGACUCAACUUGCAGCCUCUCCAUCUCUUUUUGCAUUUUCUUCAUCUCUAACAAAAACACAGUGUGCUUUAGGUUGUCCCUUGUGUUAAGUACUUCCCUGACUUUGCAUAGAAAGAUUCACAAGCACACAAGUGAUUCUGCACUGUUCAUUAGACUUGAACUUCUGAUCUACAACACAUAAUUUUAUUGAUAUUUCUUAAUAUUUUAUAGGCAGGUUAGUUCUGAGUAAUUUUUCUCUCUUUUCUGUGCCUAACCCAAGAUGCUGCAGGACCUUGUUGGUACAUCAGACUUACUGAGACAAAGGCUUCACACAGAUCAGGCAUCUAAACUAUUUGUUCAGCUCAGAAGUGGUAUUUUGGCUGCAGUAUAUUUUUUCCACUUGUGUGGGAGGAAUUGUGUUUUAUUGUAAGCAUCAACACUAUUGUUAAAAUAAAUUGUUCUUAUCUGUUAGUAUAAUA